rnacentral:lncRNA from 1 species
CAAUUAGCUCAUUACUCAAUGACCUUGUUCGGUUAAGCUAUGCCCUUCACCUCAUGCUUGUGUUCCCUAUGUUGAACUUUUCUCUGAGGGCUAACAUCGAUGAGCUGCUUUUCUCCCAGAAACCUCUUCUGGCAAAAGACACCAAAAGAUUUUUGUCCAUCACCCUUGUGCUUCUAGUAUUCUCUUAUACAGCAGCCAUAACGAUCCCGGACAUAUGGUACUUCUUUCAGUUCCUAGGAUCGACUUCUGCUGUCUGUCUCGCUUUCAUUUUCCCAGGUGUCAUUGUUCUCAGGUACUUCAUUUUUCAUGCAAGACAUGUCCAUUCUCACCUAUGGCUUACCGAUGUUUCUGCUCAAUCUCAAUCUAAUUCCUUCCAUUGUUUCUAUUUCUAACUUGCAGGGAUGUUCAUGGCAUAUCAACAACAAGGGAUAGGAUCAUCGCAACAGUGAUGAUAGUUCUAGCUGUAGUCACUAGCACAAUAGCAAUUUCCACAAAUAUAUAUAGUUCGAUUAGAAACAAAUCCUAGUUUGUUUCCUGAUUUUUACUCUUUUUUGUAGCAAAGGUGAUAUAUAUAUAUAUAUUUUUUCCUUCUUUUUGUAUUCUUUUUCUUGAGAAUCCGAUGUUGUUUUGGCCGCAUGUAGAAUUAAUAUUUGAUAAAUGUAGUUUAUCAAACACAUUAAGGGAGUUCAAGAAUGCAAUUUCCUGCUAUAUAAUAGCAAAUGAUUCUGCUUUCUUCUUUUGCUCCUGAAUGAACCUAUAAAUGAUGCUUCAUGAAUUGAUGAUUUUUUUUUAGAAGAAAGUAUGCCUUUCAAUAGAUUAUCUGGAAAACAAAUACAUGAUGUCUGUUGGAAAUUCAUCCAACCAUAUUACAGUUUCAUUCCUUUGCAGGGCUGCCUUAGCCAAACCAUGAGCUAUGCCAUUACAUGUUCCGGGGAUAUGCUGAGCUUUGAAAUUCUAGAAAUUCUUCCUGAUUUCCAGAAUUUCAGAGAUCACCCAGAAAAUUUCAGACAUGUUACUUGUCCUCUUGUUAACUAGUUCAACUACUUCUAAUGAAUCAGAUUCAAAAAUCCCAGCAGUAACACCAACUCUUAGCGCUACUUGUAAGCCCCACUCCAUGGCUGCAGCUUCAGCCAUUGCCACGCUGCCAAAAACCUUGGAUGUUUUAACAGCAGCCGCUUUGCAAUUUCCCUCCUGGUCUCUGAUUACAACUCCUAAGCCUGCCAUUUGUUUAUCUGCAUCCACAGCAGCAUCCACAUUGAUUUUUAGCCAAUCCUUUGGGGGAGGGCACCACUGGUUCAGCUCCUCUGCCUUCUGACUCCCCACAAAGUUCAUCUCAGGUUGUUUAACUUUCCUAUAAGACUCUACAACAGAUUCUGCCCGCGCCACUGCUAUAAUUGGAUUUUCUUUUUUGCCCUCAAACAACCAUUUGUUUCUUGCAUUCCAAAUAACCCAUAGCAACGCAGCCACCAAAGCCCCUUCUAUAUUGGUUUGCUGUUGGGGCAAAAUUUGUAGUAAUCCAAUUAUGUCUUGAUUGUGCUCCCCUUGAGAUCCAACUGUUAAUUGAGCAGCUUUCCAUAUCUUCUUUGCCAUUUUGCACUCCAACAGACCAUGAGAAAUGGACUCCAUUUUGCAGCAGCAAAUUUGGCAAGUUGACUCCUGUAAAAUCCUUCUUUUCCAUAAUUUUUCCGCUGUUGGCAAUUCAUGAAUUGAUGAUAACUUCUCAAAGAAGAUAUUAAAUGAAUGAUUUCAUAUGAGACCUCACUGAAAAUUUCACUUGAAAUGAACAGUGUUAGACAUACAUAUGACACCAAUACAAGACAUUUUCAUUGUGGAUUUCUAGUAAUGCCGAAUGAAAGCAUAAUCAAUGCCCGGAUAAACAUAAACCCUGAAAUCUUCCUUACCUUUCCAAAAGCUCCAUGUGAAGUUAUGAUUCACCUGCUUAAUCAAAUUACCAAUUUAAUUUUGUACUUCUAUAUAGUAUAAACAUUCUUUAGUGGAGCAUGAAUGUUUUCAAGACUAUGUACCUCAGCAAUCACAGUUUCUCCUCUGUAAACUUUAUAGGACUACCGAGAAGAGUGACAAACCAACGAAUCUGAAAGUCGGAAAUAUAUAAUAUAUUCUAUUUGCUUUUGGCAAUCUUUUGCUGAAACAGAGUGUUAAUGCAGGAAUAAUGUAAAAAGUUAGAAACACUGCAAAAAAUUAAAUUCUCAAAUAUUUUUUUAUAGUGAACAAGAAGAUACAGGGCACUUUCUUGUUCUAUCGGAAAAAAUACAACUAAUGAACUCAGAUCUGCUUUCUGCCGAAACUGUGUUUCAAACUUAUAGUUCAAAGAGCUCAAAAUAAACAAUCUCAAGAAGGAAUAUCAUAUCUCAGGUCUUGGAACCUCUUCAGUAAGCUUGAUUUGUAUUUCUCGACCUCAGCAUCGUUUAACGAGUCUGGAGUAGACUUUAUAACUGAUAUCACCCCAGCAUGGUGUAAAGCUCCAGCAGCUUCAUCUGCAGCAUUAGAUGUAUAAUAUAAAAAGUCCAAAUAAUAGAAAGGAGGAUAUUUGACAACUUCACAUAUCCCUCUUAUUGUGAUCCAGAAUCAAAAGACAAGCAUUGAAAGAAUUCUACAAAUUAAGUGAUGAAAUCAACGAGUUAGUCUUACGACUCAAAAUGGUCCAACUCUCUGAUAACAUGAACAUGAGUUGGUCGUUUAAAGAAUCAAGAGGGAUCUAAAAAUUUCUUUGUUUUAUGUGUAACUGAAUUCUUAACAAUGGUAUCCACGAAAAAGUUCUUCAAUCUCAGCUGAUAUCCUGCUUUUUUUGGUUAGAAUAGUGAAGUUUCCAUAAUGAAUUGACAACAUGUCACAGUAAGAUGCAAACGCACACAAAUCUGUGGUAGCAUCAAAAUUUAGUUUCACCGAGCAAUGUUGCUCAGGUUAUAUGUCUAGACCAUUCGCAGGGUUAGAUCAAACCUAUGUGGCUAGAUUGGAAAAUUUUGCAAAGAAUCUUCUAAUGAGAACCUUCACAAUAAUAGCUGUGAAGCUAUCAUAGUUGAGAUGUAACUUUUAAAGGAGUUACAAUUUAAGCAUCAAAGGAUUGAUGCAUGAGAGCAUCUUAGUGAAAACAUGUCUAACCUGAGUGUGAAAGGGCAGCAAGAGCCUUCAGGGCCUCUUUCCGUGUGCGGUCAUCUUUAGCAGCUCCCAGCAUAUUUACAAGCUCUUGAGCUCCACCAAUCUCUACUAUUUUCAUCCUCCUUUCAUCUGCAAUCAAGAGGAAAGCAAAAUCUGUAUAUGAGCUGCAAUCCGUAAGCAAUCUUCAAUUGACACCUCUAGUUCAACAGUAACGUCAUUAGUUAGCCAUAAUCUCACACAGAUAGUCUCCAACUACAAAUAAAGUGAUCUAACUGGAGUUACCCAUACCAACUAGGAGCUCGUGAAAUGCUGCAAGAUAGGGCCUCAAAAUGACACAGGAUAUAGACAAGACAAGUCUUCACCUUAGACAACAACUGGAAUCCUCAAAUUAAGAGAAGCAACAAGAUCCUUAAAAGGCAAUAAAGAGUCCAAACUAGUCAACAGAUAUCCACGAGGACUAAGAACUUUGAGAGCUCAUGUUCAAAGAAUCAUUUCUUUCAGAAGUGGCCAUGAUCAGAAAGCAAAUUAGGAGUGAGGACCUCUGCCUGCCAAACUCUUUGCCUUACACAAUCACAAUACAUUGAAGCUAAAAAUUUACUAUCCAUGACUAUCCCCAAAAGAAAAAAGAAAAAAGAAAAGAAAAGGAAAAGAAAUUUACCAUCUAUUGCAAAACGGGUCAAUCUAGAUGCCCCCAUUCUUUUAAACAAAGGGUCCUUCACUUUCAAAAGUGACACAGACUGUUGCAUCAAGUUAUCCCCUGGAACAGCAGAGCAUAAGAAUUUCAUUAAGGAUCCCUACAACAUAAGCCAGUCAAAAAUUGGCUCAGAAAAACUAUCCACAUACCCAUGUAUGGGAAGAAUUGAUAACCAACAGCCGCUGCUGUACCGGCAAACAACAGUUUCAGUAGCCAUCCUAUUUUCCUUUCGGCAUCCUGUUCAAGGGCGAGGUCAUCUGGAAGUACACACACACAAAUCAAUGAUUUUCUCGCAAGAUCCUUCAAUCCAAAAUUUCAUCACUUCAAUUACUUUGCUACCAACAGGAUAAAAAUCACGAAAAUGAAUUAUAAGAAUCAUUUCUGUCUAUAAUUUCUUCAAGAAAUAUUUCUAAAUAAGGAAAGUUGCAAAACAUAUUAGCACAAACUGGCACUAUGAUGAAAAUUCAGAGCAUUACUCAAUCAAAUAUCAUAAAGAGGAAAACGAAAACAACCUUUUCCAUUGUAUGAUGAGAAAUUACGAGACUGCACAUUCCCAGCUCUUCUUCUACACACAUACUGCAUCACAUAUAAAAAUUUAAAAAAAAAAAACACAACAGUUAAAAACAAUCAUCAUAGUAUCUAAUUGAGUUUGAGACAAAGCAGCUAGUUACAGUGGUAAGCUGGGAUGCUAGCGUGCGCAUGAUGGAAAGACAACCUCUUUCCAAGCUCAUUUUGAAAUUUCAAUGGAGCUUCUUCGACCCUCGGGCUCGCUCCAGUGCCGGUCUCUCUUAGAGAAGUGAGAAACCCGAACGAAGUUACCAAAUUGCCCUUGGUCAUUGAGCCCAAUGCAAGCCCAUCAGACGUAGAACCCGAACCGGCCCAAGCCCAAAUAGAAUCAUAAUUCACACCAUAAACGAAGUGAAACCAAAACCCCUCUCUUUCUUUUUGCUUCGGCAUUCGCAACAGCGGCAGCGGCAGCGGCAGCGGAGGCGCAGACACCACAAACAGAGAAGCAAAGAAGAGAUGGGGAAGAUAGCAAAAGGGUCGAGGAAGGGAAAGAAAGCGUGGAGAGCUAACAUAAGCACAGAAGAUAUAGAAGAUUUCUUUGAGCAAUCAAAUAAAGACGCUCUCUCCGGUGGCUCUCUUUCUCAGCUUCCGAACGACUCCCUUUUCUACGUCGACAACUCCAAAGGUUAGACAAAGCUUCAAGCAUUUUUUGACUCGUCUAGGCAUAUUUUCGUUGAACUUUGAUUUUGGGUAAGCGGGGGGCUAUAACGGGGAAGCGGCAAACUCAAUCAGGCCAUAACAUAAAUGCUGUCAAUUAGAGGGGGCAAAACGUAAAAUUCACAUAGAGAUAGGAUAAAUUUCGGUUGAAUCGCCUUAUCUUUACUAGAAUUUAUAUCCGUUAGAUAGAUUGUUUUUGCUAGAGAGCAAGGUUUUUGAUUGUAAAAAAGUACAUUUGCACUGUUAGCGGAAGGUGCACAAUUUGUAUUAUGUGGUUUAAUUAUAGGUUAAUGGAAAAAGUUUUUUUUUUUUAAUUGUAACUGUUGGCUAUGCUUUUGAAGUUUUGUUGCGGUUUUAUUGAUUAUGCUUAUUUUUAUGACUUGAGUUUUUGGUGAUUGUAAUGGCAGAUCUUUCGGUGAAGCGGAAGAUUGAGAAACAUAGGGAAAAGGUACUCCGCUGUGACAGUGUGCUGCAGAAGAAUCCUUUUGUUCGGGCAUUGCCAUCGUCAAAGCCGAAGCAGAAGAAGAAAUCCAAGAAAGAGAAUAAGGAUGUUGUGAAAGAAAAGGAUGAAACUCGGGAUGGUCAGAAGGUGAGCAAUUAUUGUUGGAUCCUAGUGUCUUUUGAUAUUUGAAUUCAAACUAAUUUUGUGUUAUUUCGAUUUAUCAUCUCAGAGUGAUGGUGCCUCUGCUUCUGGCAUGGUUGACAUAUGGGCAAACGAAGGUGAAGGGGACAACCCGAAAAAGGUAAACUAUUAUUACUAACUAUUUGAAAUUUUGAAUGCAAUUAUAAUCACCUUUGGAUGCCUGUGUAGAAAGGAAUGACAUUCUGCGGCAUUAUUGUUCAUGUGAAUCAGCAUCUAUUCUACAAUGUGACAGAGUGGAUUCACUGCCUCUUUUCUUUUAUCUGGUUAUGACAUACCUUUACUGUGAACUCUAGCUGGUUCCAAAUUUUGGGAGCUGUAUAAAUCAACAUGACAGUGUUUGAAAUAACUUUUAAGAUGCUUUCUUUAAAGGUAUGAGAUGGGCCUUAGUUGAUAGUAGGGUCAUUGACAGGUCCCAAAACCUUCAGUUAUUCCAGCUGUGGAAGUUGAGGCUUCAGGAUGCUCAUACAAUCCCACGUUCGAAAGUCAUCAGGUAAGUUCUUAAUGUUUGAUUCUUGCAAAUGUUGCCUGCCUAUGUUGUUCAUCCAGAUGGCAACUAUUUUAGUUCCUUUGCAUCAAUCCAGGAGUCAUUGGCUCAAGCUGUGGCAGAAGAGAUGCAGAAAGUCUAUCGAAAGGAGUUGGGUCCUGAACCAGUUCCAAUUACCGUUCCAGGAGAAGUUAUUAACGAUGAAGAUGUGAGCUGCUUUUGCUCUGUGAAUUUAUCAUUUACCUAGAAUGCUAAGAUUUUGACCAUGCAACGUCCAAAAACUAGAGUUUAUAUUUGAUAUAUGUUUCAAAUGAGUCGAGGUCCUAAGGUCUUUGGUGUGCCUAUUUAUCUGAAGAGUUCAUCUCAAGUGAAAUAAGCACAACACUGAGGACCUUUUUUUAUAUUAGUUUACAGUAUGUGCCAUAAGCUUAACCUUAUCUUUUUAACCAUCAGAUGUACUUUCUUGAGGUGGAUAAUGGAAGCGAUGAUGAAAAUGUGGAGAAUUUGAGCGAAAAUCAAGAUACUGGAAAUGAAAACAGGUAAGCUUCUUAGAUUUGUUAUGGCUGUCACAAUAAUUAUUCUUUUUCUAUCUAUAAAUAAUGAGAAAUCCUUCUGUUUCAAUAUCAUGAUGCAGAUCUAGAAAAACAAAGAAGGUCACCCGGGUUGAAUUGAAUAAGAGAGAAAGACACAAGGAACUGCAUAGAAAAGAAGCAGAAGCAAAAAAGAGGGAGGAGCUUUCUAAACAAAUUGAUAGGUAAGAUGUUUUUCAUGCUUCUACUAACACAUAUUUGUUCGUAGCAUAUUCUUACAAUUGCUUCUUCUCCUAUUUGCAGCUUGCCGAAUAUUAUUGAAGAAAUAACGAAAGAGGAUGAGGAGAAGCAAAAAAGGCAUAUAAGGCGUGUUGUGGCUAUGCAAGAAAGACUAAAAGUUCGUCCACCACGCUUGGGAAAGCACAAGUAUGUUUUUUGCUUUUCCAUUUUUAAUAAUGAAAAUUCCACUUAGUUCAUAUAUUCCUUUUGCUGUUUCUGCUUAUUGAUUUUGGGCAUAAUUUUUUAUAGAAGCUAAUGUAAAAUAUCAUCUUUUUACACCAUAUUUCACACGAUAAAAGCCUCUGAAGUUCUGUAACUUCUCAAGAAAAAGUAAAAGUUUGGUGUAGGAUCAAGGAUAACAAUUGCUACAUCAAAGGAUGCUUCAAUAUUUGAGAAAAGUAUCAAAUGCUUUCUAGAGAAAAACAUGUUCAAUUGAAUUUUUCUUGAAAAUUGUGAUUGUAAUUUUCUAUAUAGCAGGCAUACUAAUUGGCAAUUUUGUUUCAGAUUUGAGCCGGCUCCUACACAAGUCCUUCUAUCUGAAGAAAUAACUGGGUCUCUCCGUAAGCUCAAGGUACGUUUCCUUUUCUUUUCUUGAUGUUUUCCAUUUAGUCAUCAAAUUUCUUCUUAUUGUUUGUUUUUGAGUGAACUGAUUGUCUUUUUUUGUUAAUCACAAUUAGGGUUGUUGCACCCUUGUAAAGGAUCGGUUUAAGAGUCUAGAGAAGAGAGGAUUGAUUGUCCCAGUCAAGGGCAAAAGGUUAGAUGAACUCUCCACAUUGCUUCUGCUUUUCCUUUCUCUUGUAGUGGCUAUAUUGCUAAUUAGGGUGACAGUAGAUUACUUGAAACAGAGAUUAUAAUGUUGAAUAUUGGGAGUUAAUUUUUGCUCAAACACUAACUCAAUUUUAUUAUUAUAAAACUGCAAUAUAUGUUUUUCUACAGAUGGAAUAUCUACUGGUGAAUUCCUUUCAUUUUGCAUAUGAUUUAUGUAUGAUUAUGCUCACGCCAUUGAAAUUUAUAUACUUGAACAGGAAAUAGAAAGCUGCUCUCCCUUGCAAAGAUUCUCUUACGUGGUUUAGCUUUUGAUGUGUGAGGUCAAGGUAUAUCUUACCAGAAGGUUUCGAACUCGAAUUGCUUACCAGAAAAUGAGAGAGAUGCAUCUAGGAAUGCAGAAAACUUACCAGUUCUUCAUGUUUUAUUCUUCUUUAAAUGUAUAAUUACUUCGGUUUUUGCAUUUGUUAACCCAGUUUUGAGUUAUUUAUGCCAUUGGCUUUCUAUAAUGUUUCCUUACGGUGGUUCUGUAUUCCUGUCCUUUGACCAAGAGUAGUCAAUAUAUGUGUAACACUUUCUUUCAUCAUAAUUACAAAAAAGUUUACCAAAUUAUAUAAAUGAACAUGAACUUUCCCAAAUAUUAUGUGACAUCAAAUCAUACAGUUAACUAUACUGGAAGUGUUUGUUCAACUCGCAAAAUCAUAGAUACCAGCCAUGCAACACUGACAUCAGUGACAUGUCGUUUAAGAUUUAAUGACAAACACGACUCGACGUUUACUUAGGCAUACAACAAACAGCAUAUCGUUCAAGGUCACUGUGAAUGUUUCCUCCGCAUUCGUAGAUACAAAACAAAACUAAGCAUUGUACCAAUGAAGCUAAUGGAUCCCCAGACUGUAAAAAUAAGCUGAUGGCAUUUCAGAACCCCCAUGCAUAUUUUGCGAUCAUGUUCACCUUCUCUUUGGUAACUGUGAGCGGCCAAGUAUCCGAAAAGAAGAAUUCCGAUGGGAACGUUAGAACCAACAAUCGUUUGGUGAACAAAUGAAACAGGUGAGCCAAUGAAUUCUGAUGUUGAAGCUGCAAUGAUAACAUUUAUGGCUCCUGUGCCAGUUCCUAUAAUACCUGUGCUUAUGUAAAGACAUGCGUUGCUGUUGCCGAUGAGCAAGAAGAAGGCUAAAGGCAUGGGCAUCAUUAUGAGCAUCACUGAUGUUGCUGCCUUGGAUUUGAUUGAUUUUUCCCUGAAACAAAUAAUUUUAUGUCAAAUUUAAACAUAUCAAGCUCUAACAUGUGUACUGAGAUUUAUAACGGCUAGUGAAUUCAUGAGACGGCAAUACGUUGCCUACUGGAUCAUUGCUUGUUUAUCAAGACUGACAUAAUUUUGGUAUAUAUUGAAGUUUACAGCAGGAGAUGAUCAAACCUUGUGUACCAUGAGAAGAUGACAGAAAAGAUCUUUCCAAAGAAUAAGCUAAAUGAUGAUGUUGCCAUUAGAAAUGAAGCUUCAUGGUAACCUUUCAAGUCGCAGAUUAUAUCCAAGUUGCUGAGAUACACCAUUCCCAGAGUAGUCCCACACAUAUUGAUCAAAUAAAACAACCAAAAAUCUACAGUCUUCACUAAAUUUUUUGUGUCCCCAUCUUCAGUAUUGCUCUCUUUUUUCCUUUUAUCAUCUUUAAUAGUGUUCUUGAGUCCCUGGCAAGAUCUGUCCGGCUCUGGCAUCACCUUUAUGCCCCAUAAUAUUUCUAAUAUAAGCUGGUUUGCAGUGACGAGCAAUGCCACUACAAAAGGUAGCAUUACCACCAGCACAAGACUCACCACUCUCAAUUUCGGUGACAAUUGUGUAUAAGGUUCAAUAAUUGUGGCAUAAACUCCUGUUGCAAUAGCAAUCACCAACAUAAAUGGAAACAUUUUUGCUUCCUCACAUUCAGUCACUUCUACACAAUUUAGCAUAGCCAAAACCAACCCAAUCAUAGCUGGGGCGACACAGCAUAAGAGGAAAAAAAUACUAGAAUUUGAAGAACCUAAUAAUUUCUUGCCUUUUAAUCCUUCAACAAAACAAGUGUAAAUCUUGCCACUAAAUCCACUAUAGCUUGAUGCUAGUGCCAUAAUAUUUUCAUGACUAUGCUUGAAGUUUCUAAUGGCGACUAACUCACAAUAAGUGUUGAUCCAACAAAUGCUAUUGCCUGCGAUAAAAUUUAACAAUAAUAUUUGCUGAUAUGAUAGAUUGAAAGCAAACUCAUCAUGAUAUAUUAUGCACAAGAAUUGUACACCAUAUCCAAUUGAUCCAAAUAUCAAACCAAUUAUCAAAAUCAUCCAUGCAGGAAGGUGCUCUGAUGCAAAACUUGAAAUGGAUUCCAAGAGCCUUGCACUUUCAGAAGCCACAAUCAAAUUAUUGAGUUGCACUCUAGAGAUACCAUAGUAUUUAUGUAUUAGCUUGAAGCAUGCUGCAUAAAUAAAGCGGGUGCCAUUCAUGGCUUGUAACAAAGCAAUGCCACCCAAAAUUAGCCAUGGCAAUAUAUAUUGCCUAUAGCCAAAUGGGCUGUCCAUGUUUGUUUAAUUAUUGCAUGUUAAUUAACAUAGGCGUUAGCUUUAUAGUGAGUUGCAGAAAGGCUGAAUUUUUUUGCAUGAAAAUGCUUAUUUAUUUAUUUAUUUAUUUAUUUUGUCCUCCGAUGUUAAAUUGGUUAUAAGUAGCUAUCAAUGGAUCAUCACUUACCAGACGACAAAACUUAUAUAUAUAUAUAUUGAGUUCGUUGGUUGUGGCAUUGUUGCUUGGAGAACUGCAAUUGUAAUUCCUGAUUCAGAAAGGUUUAGAAGUUCCCUUGCAGCCAAGUAUUAGUUACAGUUAGAUUUGCCAAAAAUUCAUUAGAUAUGACGGCGAGAGUUACUGAUUCAGAAUGGAACUUUUGGUACGGUUUAUUAAAUUUUUCGGUCUGAGUUAAAUAAUGUUGACUAGGAUAAAUCAAUUGCUUAGUUAUGAUGAAGAAAACAAGUUAUGUAAUUAUGUACAUAUAGAAAGUUGAGAUUAACAGCUUUAUCCCAAGUGAUAUGGUAUACAUUAGAGAUAGGCAAUGGUUCAAGAUGGUUUGUGAUUUAACAAUCCCACUUUCAUUCCAAUUACAUAAAUGUGGACGAAUCUUGCCCCUUUUUUUAUAUUUGGGACCAAGAUUAAUACUAAUUCUGAACCAUUCAAUAUCCUAUCCCCUCCCAAUUAUCUCAAAUGUUAUCACUAAAUCAGGGGCGAAGUGUGCAGGGGACUAAUCCGAGCUAAGUUUUUUUUUUUUUUUUUUAUCAAAAAAGAAAAGUGAAUUACAAAAUUACCAUUACUGAAAUUUAUUUUAAAAAUAAAAAUAAAAUAAAAAAUUUGAGUCAUCACAACUUAUCAAUCCAAUUUUCCCAAUUUGCAAAACUAAAAUACAAAUUUACUUCUUUUUUCAUAGAUUAUUCCGUUUAGUAUUUUGUAUUCCGUGUUUCAACAACAACAACAAGGAGAGUAUUUUCUAUAAUGAAAUUGAUUAAGACAACAAAUUGAAAUAAGAUAGAAAAUGAGUUUCUUUCCGAUUGUAUGAUUGUCUAUAUUAAAAGAGAAAGCAGACAAUUUCGACUCAAAUUUGAUAAUUUAUGAGUUUUCUUUUUUGAAGAAUCGUAGGACACAAUUUCAAUAAUGUUUCUUUCUAUUAUUAUUAUUAUUAUUUGGCUUAUGUAUCGUAUUUCCAUAAUUUGGUAUGUAUAGAACAAACAUUUUGAAAAGUAAAUUUAAUUUUGAAAAAAAUCCGGUCCACCCCAAAAGAUAUUCCCAGUUUCGCCACUGCACUAAAUUAACAUUUUUAUUUCCAUUAAUGUAUUUAAUAAGAUUUAAUUUAUAAUUUUCAUAUAUUAAAACAUUUAUGUUUCCAUUAACAACUCAAUUAACAUAAAAAGAAACAUCUCCAAUAAAAGAAUAUUAUACAUUGAUAAUUACAUAAUAUACAAUUAAUAAUGUUAAAAUAUAGUCAGCUAAAAUAAUUGGGAGAAUUGGGAUCCUAUGGAAUCUCAAGACAAAUCCCAAUCCGACCUCCAAUUAAUAAUUGAGAUCAAUUUCAAUCCAAAAUCUCAAUUACUUUUAAAAUUGAUCCUAAAAAUAUAAAUCAAUUCUGUCUUUAUCAAUAUGGAUCGCGAAACCCAAUUAGAAUUUGAGAUUUUUUUGCCAUCCGUAAUAUAUAUUCAUAUGAUACUCAUAAAACAACACUAAGCAAUAAGCACUAGCUGGGUGUGAAACAACAACAUAAAAAAAAUUAUUUGAGUUAUAUAAAAGUAAGGAACACGAAAAUGGGAAUUUUUUUCAUAUUUUAUAUUAUAAUUAUUAUAGUAAAACAAAUUAUUGGUACUAUUCUUAAUGAUCUAUGCUAAGAUAAUGAGCAUAUCUCAAAUAUUAGGUUGGAAGAGUGAGAUAUCUACUCCAUUGAAAAAAAAAAAUUUACGUAACGUACGACUGAUAUAGUAAAAUAUGGUAUUUAUUAAAAAGGUAGCAUGUGAAUGCGAAUAUCAUAAACAAUUAAUAGAGUUAAAUAUGUGGAGACUAAUUUGAUAAUUAUCCCAAAUUUUAUAUAUUUAACUCAAGAUUAAUUCCCAACCAAUGUUAAAUAUGCAAAAGAGACCAUGAUGAAAAAAUAAUAAUAAUUGCACUGUUUUAAUUUUUUUUUUGUUUUUCAAUAUUUGUUUUACCUUGUGUAAAUUUCUCACGUGGAUUUAACACAUGUUCAUUUUAUGUGAUGAAUUAUAUAAUUCAAUUUCUUAAGGAUUCAACCACAUAGACCCAAAAUCAUACCUAAUCAGAUAUUAUAUUUUGAAUUGCCAUUUAAUAAUGGUAAAGACCUAAACAAUAACAUUGUAUUUAAACUGUUAAAAAACUUUUGGCACCUGCUAAUGUAAUUUCCAACCACCCAAAGUAGUUACUCAAUACAAAAAAAAAGUGUAAAACAAACGGGAGACUCUUAAGUAACUACGAUUGAAUUUGCUGUAAGUUAGGUCUAUAUAAUUGAAAAAAUCUAGUGCUAACAUGGGUAAAUUACAUACAUAAAUUGUCAAAUUAUACACAAUCUCUUGCCAGGAAUCGGUUAGCCAGCAUUUUCGUUCGCCAUCUUCCAAGAUUUUGUGUUAUUUGGUGUCUUAUUAUGGCCUCAUAUACAAGGAAAAAAACCAACGACUUUUGUUAAAAAAUUGGAGAAAAGUUCCUUUCGAAAUUCUAAUAAAAAAAUCCCAAAAAACUUUCAAGUCCCAACCAAAUUAAAUAGAAAAUUGAAACAUCGAAUCAAAAACGCAACAAUCUCUGCCUUUCAAAUACUAUCCAAAAGUCAACAAAGAGACGCAGACGCCUAUACUGAAAUGGGCUCUGGACCUCUGGUGGAUAUAUUUUGCUUGUUAAGAACAAGGGACAAGAUUUGCAUUUGUGUCUUUUGCAUCUGCAUACAUGUAUGUCCGUAUUCUGCUCAAAUAUUAUUUUAAUUUCGUGAUGUCUCAAACUCAGUGGUGCGCACUCCUUUCCUCAAUUUCAGAAAGUCACUGUUAUUGCCAUGACUGUUUCUAGCUCUCUUGGAAGAAGAAGAUUGCUUGCCGAGAUAAAUAGCUUUAUUGCUGUUUUUAUCCUUGCUGGACAACUCAGUUUAACGGUAUGCUGACUGUAGAUUAGGUUUUGCAAUGUUUUUUUAUUUGAUGUUUUACUUGCUUCUUACUAUGACUUUCCUCUUGAAUACCUGGUUUUCUGGGUUUUUAGUGUUAAGUUUUUCAAUGUAGAGUCUAUGAAUUCAAUAAGUGUCACAUUUCUCUUCCUAUUAGCGUGUGGUUGGGAGUAAACACUAGUGUGGAAUGCUGCUUGAUAAGGUUGUUUCUAAGUCUGUGAAUAGACGAUGAUGGUCAAACUGUACAUAUUUAGUAGAAUCAUAUGUAUUAUAAUGAGUCAUGCCAAAGAAAAAUGUAUAAUCAUGAGAAUAUUUCAGAGGGAAAACUCCAUCACCCACAUUAGAUGCCAUUAGUGUAACUGUGCAAGUUUUUGAUAACUUACCGUAUUCCUAUUUUGGCUCUGGAGAUGCGUUAUUUAAAUUAUCUGAACUGGAUCUCUGGUUCCCCUCCUUGUUUCCUCUCCAUGCAACCCGUAACCUCUUGAAGUUGUACUGGAUCAUUCAAAUUGAAUUUCCUGCACUUGAGCUUCUGUGAACUGUCAUAGGUUUUCUUAGAAUUAUCAUGAUAUGGUGAUCCUAGCCUUUUUCUUUUUUUCCAUUUUCGCUUAUCUAAUUAUGUACAGGGGCACAUCCUUUCUGUUGGUGGGAUUACUGUAGCCAUAUGCUCUGCUCCAUUUAUUGCCUUCUCAAAUAUGAUUGCUGUUGCAAUUUGGCCAACUUGGGUGACUGUCGCUUUUUCAGAGACCAUACGAAAGGUUUGUCACGAGCUAUUGUUUUUUAUUUUCUUUUUAUUACCCUCCAAUACUGUUGGACUCGUCUAUUGGUUAUAAACUCAAUUUCCAGUAUUACAGUCUACAGAACCAUAUUCAGUGUGCUUAUGAAGUAAGACUGUUAAAGGAAGGUUAUUCUAAAAUUCUAAAGUUGAGAAAAUCUCACAGUUGGGAGACUUCCAUUCCUUGCAGGUGGUUACUUAUGUUGUAAACAGGCCUGGAAGAGAACUACUAUUUACUGUUGUUUCCCAAGAGGAAAAAUACAAAGCUAAGGUGUGCUAAUUUUCUCUAUUACUGAGUUUUAUUCUUAGAAAUGAGAGGCAAUGUGAUAUUCAUUUGGUACUUUAUGUACAGAAGCACAUGGUCAUCACGAAUGUUGAUCCUUUGACCCUUUUUUUGACCUCAUAAGAUAUUCAAAAUUAAGAUUUAUUUCAUAUUUCCUUGGGUUCUUGUGCUUAAAAUGUCAAUAAGCAUCAAAAUAUAGGUUUCUCUAAAGAUAUGCUGCUGCAGGCGUGCAUAGACAUACUUAUCCAGCGACUUGGAGAUGCAUCCGCAGCUGGAAUGUACAAACUACUUUUCAGCACUCUUCAUGGGAGAACAUCAACUGUGUCCCAAUGUGCCCUUCCUAUAUGUAUAAGCCAACUCCUUGGUGAUUUAUGUUAUCGAACCUCUCAGAAUUGUUACUACUCUAUUUUUGUUCUUGAACUCAUUGAAUUUCAUAAUGCAAAUCUUUUUCUUUGGUUUAAUUUUUUUCAACCAGUGUAAUCAAAGUCUGCAUUUUCUCAUUUGGUUUCAGGCCUGUUUAUUAUGGAUAGCUACAGCGUUCCAUUUAGGACGCCGCCAGGCACAAGUAGCAAAGCUUUUGGUGAACCCCACUUAUUGAAAAAAAAAAAAAAAAAAAAAAAAAUUCAGAUGAUUAUUUUUUUUGGUUUUUUUUGGGGUACUUUAGCCGUGAAAUAUAGGCUGCAAAUAUGUAUAUUUUCCAGUUCAACGGCGGUAAUAAUUUGUUUUUUUCCAUGUAUCUACCAUGACUUGAAUUAGUCCCCCAGCCACACCUACACCCAAAAUUAGGUGGAAUCCUCAUUUGGUUCUAUUUCCAUAACAAAAAGACUAAUUAGGCUUUAAUACAGAAUAAUACCCAAACAAGUAUUUGUAUAUACCAUCCCUAGACAAGUAUUCCAGAAGCCUUUUUUGUUUUUCCCCUCCCCUUCCAAUGGGAUAAAAACAAAAGCUUAUGUGUAUAUGCGAAAUCUUUGGAAAACUCAAGGAUGACAUGUCGAAUGUAUUCUAAAGAUGUCAAACUGGCAUGUGUUUCACGGAUAUCAGCAAUUGAAACUGAUUUCAUCGAAAUGUUGCUCGGAAUUGCAAUUGUUUCAUUGAUCAUACUGGAGUCUUCAUAUUUAUAGGUCUCUGGGCAUUGAGAGAGAGCAAUUUGAAUGGUUUAAUCAGCUUUCACCCACUUGGACGAGUCAUGUUAAUUGGUUUAGACUUCAUUAAAGUGCUAGAUAAUACUUUUUUAUUUAUCAGUGUUUUUUUCCUCACUCAAUUAAAAAACAUAUAUAUAUUGUAGUGAGAGCCUACACGAUAUAAUUUGAGUGUGUUGCUCUAGUUAUUACCACUAUUUGUAAAAUAUUUGCUUUAAUACAUAUCUUUAUCAUCUCUUAAUAUCAUUUUAUUUUAUCUUUUAAAAAAACAUGUGCUGUAUACGUGCCCUCAAUCUCUCAAACUGAAGAUGAGAUACAUCUUCCAAUUAAUGCUCGGGGUGCAGCAAUAGUUUCAAAUAAUAAAAUAUUUAUAUGCAAUUUGGGUUAAAGUUUGCAGGAAAACUGAUGAUAGUAUCGUGACGACUCCAAUGCUCUCACAAAAAUUGAUUAGCGGUCUAAAGCAAUUUCAAACAUAUACUUAAGUCCUAUUUGUGAUUAAUGAUAAAACCUACACUUAGGUCCUAUUUGUGAUUAACGUUAAAAUUCAACAAGUUGCUUAUUUGAUAAAUUUUAUAAAAAUAACUUAUUUCAUAAUUUACUCCAUUUUAACAGCAGCUUUUAAAGUAAUUGGCGGUUACUUUUUAUUAGUAAUAGCAGCUAGGUGUUGCUUUUUAUAAGCAACUUAUUAAAUAGGUCACCGCACUUUUUUAAAGUCCUUAUUAUAACCUUAAUAUUUUAACCAACACACACACACACGCACACUUUUUCAUGAACAUUAAUAUAUAAAUUAUUAGAUAUCAUAUUACCGCCACAACUACUUAUGUUCUAUCCAAUAUCAAUUUAAUGUGAAUUUAAUACAUAUUACUUUUUAUUUUCUUUAGGUUAUGUAUAAGUAUGAAUUUUUUUUCAUAUUUUAUGUAACAGAUUAUGAAGUUCAUUAAAUUUUAUUUUUUUGAGUUUUUUUCAUUUUAUGUAGUUUUACACAUUUUAAAAAAAGUAAGUGUAAAUGAUUUAUUAAACAUACUCUAAAAAUAAAAGGCAAUUUAAACUUAUGUUUAUUUUGGUAUUAUAUAAUAAAAUAGUACUUUUCAUAAUAAAAUUUAUUAUACGCCUAUACUCUAUCUUUUCAAAUUCAUAACAACUACAAUAAUACAGUUUACCAAAUACCAACCUGUAUUUUUAAUUAGCAGCUUAUUUCAUCUGCAUAGUAUCAACUAGGGGUGGGCAAAAAAAGCUGAUUAAUUAAAAAUCGAACCGAACCAAUCGGUUCGGUUUUUGUGCGAUUUUUUAAUCUUAAAAAACCGAAAUGGUAAUAUAAAAAAAAAAUAGUAAAACCAAUCGGUUCGGUUUUCGGUUUAAAAAAAAAACCGCAAAACCGAACCGAAAUCUCAAAUAAACCGAUUGUUUUGAAAGCUAAAGCUAAAACCUAAAAACCUAAAAUCUAAAUCUAAACUUCUGACUUCUGUCUUCUCGGUUCCCGACUUCCCGCUGGCCGCUGCUCGUCGUGACUUCUUCUGUUCUCGCUGGCCGUGCGGCAUCUCUCGCUGCAAUUUUUGCAAUCGUGCGGCAUCCCUCGCCGCAAUUUUUGCUUCUGCUAACCUUGUUACUGUCUCAACUGCACUCUUUUCCAGAGUUGAAAUCAUUCUGCUUUUUGGCCUCCGUUGUCUGCACCCAGACCUUUACAAAUUGACCUUAUUGAUUGAUUGCUUUUGCUUGGGAAAUCACAGAGAAGAUGCAACACAUCAGGUGGGAUGCACUUUCCUUCUUGGGCAUAUUAUCGAACACGUCCUAGGCAUGAGAAUUAUACCAUAAUUCCUCAACAAUAUCUCUCUUGAACCUGGCCUGCAAAUUCCAUAUAAUCAUUCCUUUGUCUAUUUUGUUUUGGGAUUGGGACAGAAAGGAAGAGGGUUUCCGCUGCUGCUGGCGGCCAUAUUAUUGAAGGGACCUACGCCGAAUCUGAACCGUUGAUUCGCUUGUUGGACUUGAUUAGGACCCACAAUCAUCAUCUAUCAUCCUUGUUCGAGUGUCGGCUUAAAAGCCAGGUACAGGUAGUUUAUAUGUUUAAUAAUUUGGGACCACCAUGUUUGUGCUGCCAUGUCAAAUUUUUCUGCAGUUCUCUUUUUCAUUUUUUUUAUAAAUAUAAUCUCGAUUUUUGUAGAUAGUUUAUGUAAUAAUUUAAUAUAUAUAUUCUUGGUUGGCCAAAAUGAAUACAAAUGCAAUUAAUGAAUGAAGAAGUUAUUCAUAAAGCAUCAUUUAUUUAUUUGUUCAUUGCGGUUAAGUUGUAUGCGAUCCAUUUGGUUGUUGGUUACAACCAGUUAAAUAUUUAUUUAAAAAUAAAAUAUAACAUGUUAAUUAAGAUGAAUGUUGUAAUAUGAAGUCUCUUUAGUUUUGUAAAAUGUGCGUGGUUAUUCAAUAAUUUUGUAAAAUGGUAGAUUUAUUAAUUUAAGCUUUUAAAUUUAAAAAAGCCCAAAAUAAGGCCAAUAGGCUCAUAAUCGAAAUAAUCAAACCGAAUCGAAUCGAAUUAUUUCAAUUAAUUGAGUAUUUGAUUAUUUCGGUAAUUUGAUUAAUCGCGAUUAUGAUUUUAAAAUAAUCGUAAUCGAACGAUUAUGAAAAAUUUAGUAAAAAAUCGAACCGAACCGAACCGCGUCCACCCCUUGUGUCAACCACCGUAAUCCCAAACUGUCCUUAAUUUAUCAUUUGUAAUUCCAAACAAAAUUAUUUUACCUCUUUUUCUAUUGUUUGAGGCGGAAAUUUCACCAAGCCAUGUGUCACAAGAAUGGGCUCCUUCUAUAAUUGUGAUUAAAUAGAAAUUCGGACUACAUGGUCUGCGAUCCGCCUUAUUCCGUUGUGCAGUUCGAAGAGUGAUGUCCAAAAGCCUAUUUAGGCGUUGAUAUGGCCCAAAUAUGCUCUUGUUGUGAUUUUGACCUUGGCUUGAGUAGUCACAGAUGCCAUGAUAUUGCACACUAGGAAAGUUCUUAGGAAAGACUGGAGGGGUUACAACGGUCCCACGUAAAACCCAGUCUCCUUAAGCUCUUAUUGCUUUGGUAACAAAACUUUUCUAGACAUGUGCAAUACUGCACGAUUGCUCCAUUCUUGGCCUUCGAAUACUCUUGUUGAGAACAGUGCCGUAUGCGUGAAUAGUAUCGUAAGCGUGAAUAGUAUCGUAUACGUGAACAGUGUCGUACUCGUGAAUGGUGUCAUAUGUCUAAACAAUAACUUUUCUUCAAAUAAUUACACUCAAUGGCUCUGGUAAUACGUUUAUGGAUUAACGAGCAAAGUAGAUGCACAACUGAAAUGAAAAAUGAGAAGUAAACAUUACACAAGAGACAUAAGGAUUUACGUGGUUCGACUUUUGAGCUUACGUCCACGAGAGAAGAUGAGAAGAAGUAUUUUACUAAUUGUAUAGAGUUACAAGUAUUGUUGUAUUUAACUCACAAUCUAAAACCCUAAUACACCCAAACUCUCAAAAUACUCUCUCAAUUGAUGCUUCUUCCACACUACACUUGAUGAUUUCUCCAUGCCUUAAUCCACUUAUUUAUAGUGCAAACCAAGCCUUAAAUGUCUAUUUUGGUUGGCUUUAAAAUAUUAAUUUAUUUUAUUUCAUCAAAAUUGGUGUGCAUUAAAAUAAUAGUUUAUUUAUAAAAAUCAACAUAUUAUUUUGUUUAAUCAAAAUUGGUGGGCUUUAAAAUAAUAAUUUAUUUAUAAAAAUCAAGUUAUUAUUUUAAUAAAAUAAUUUGUUUUGUCAAAAUUGGUUAGUGAUAUUUUAUUGCUAUCAUUUUACUGUAUUUAGACUGCAAUAACAGAUGUUUCUGCUGAAUAUCUCGAACAAUUAGUUUGACUUAACUCCACAUUUUCUUCACAAAUUUCUUAUUGGUCAAUAUCUGACACGAACUAUAAGAAGCAUGUAACAUAUCUCGUGCCUGAGCCUUAUGAGCUGAAUUGGGUUAUUGGGCCUAAUAUCGAUUUUCAGGUAGUAAUAUCUAUUAACCUCAAACGCAGACCAAAAUGCUAGUGCUUCUGUGACAUUGCCUUUUAACAUAUGUUUGUUUGCUGAUAUUUCAUUGAUGAUACUCCUUUGGGAUUAAUAUAGGAGUAAGCAUGCUGAAAUAGGUGUCUAUUACAUUGAAAUGGUGCAAUUUGAACGGCUAUAUCAUCAACAUUCGCCAAUUUGACAACUCAAUUGGUUUAGAGUCCAUUAAAAUUAAUACUAAACUAUGCGCUUCUUUUUGUUAUUUUUAUUAUCAUCAUCAUCAAUUUUACUUUUGACGCAAAAUUUUCGUUCUCUUUAUUAUUAGUUUGUUUGUCUUGGAGAUAAACAGAAAGACGUGUUAAAACUGCAAAUGGCAUUUUGGAGUUGAACAGACACGAGAUAAAUUCCAAGGUUCAGGCAACGGGGGAUGUACAGAGUCUACAGACAACGAACACGAAAGUGAAAUCGAUAUCAAGCAAAGUUCCAUCAGAUCGAGUAAAAUUGAAGCUAAAAUUCAUGGUUUGUUUAAGAUUUGACCUAAAAGAGAUGACUAUUUAAUUGAUACAACUGGAUACUGAUAAAGCGUUGAAUGCUAGUUUUCAAAUCUAUGAUUAGUAUUAGGCAGCGGCUACUUGGAUCAGCUCUAAGGUAGACCACCCACCACAGCCAUUGGAUGCAUGUACUUGAACUUGAAACAAUUGUGACUGAGUGCAUCCAAUGAGUGUGGUGGAUGGUCUACCUUGGAGCUAAUCCAAGGUAGCCAAACCCUUAGUAUUAUUAUAUACUGCUCCUUAUGCUUAUAUAAUCACAUAAGAUGUUGUGUCAAUUCAAAUACCAUUUUUGUAUCUUAAUAUUGUAAGAGUAGCAUUUUAUUUUUUAUCUAAAAUUUAAAUAGGUAUGUUUGAAUAUAUUUGUCUUUCGUUCUUUACAUUUGUUUAUUUUUAAGGGAAAAGUACACUUUCAAUCUUAAGGUUUGGGAAAAUAAUCAUGUAAAUUUUCAAAGUUUCAACAGGAGAUACUCGGACUCCUUGUUAACUACAAUACCUUUUGACUUUAUUAACUAAAAAUAAUAACUAAUGUUUUAUAAUAAAUAGAAAAUAGUAUCAAAAUAAAUGUAAUAAUAUAUACAUUUUAAAAUAAUUUCAAUAUUUACAAAAAUAUUUUAAUACCAUACAAUCUUAUGUUAUUAAACUAAAUUAGGUAGUAAAUAGAAACAUAGUAUUAAAAUAAAUAUAUAAAAGUUUAAGUUAUUUUAAUAUUAUAUAAAAUAAUUUUAAUAAUGUUAAUGCAUGAGAUACAUUUUAUUAAUUAUAAAAUCUAUUUAACAUGAAGAUUGAUUUAAAAUUUUUAUAAAAGUUAGUAUCCUAAUACAUCCAUAUGAUCUAUCUAAAUCUGGCAUGCCCAAGAUUUUUUAUCUUGCAGCCUCCAUAACACAAUAAAAAUAUCAUUUAGCAGAUACAUAUUUUUUUAAAAAAGGAAAAAAAUAGCAUUAUUCUCUCCUGCAGGCAUUUGCAAUUUAUUAAAUCUCAAAUUAUAUGCAAAAGUUUGCUAAUAUGCAUAUGACUAGAGUUGAUGACUCCAAAGUCUAAAUCAAAACAGACAUGGACAAUAAUGCUCAUCUUAUGAUGAGCAAUAUUGUGCUGUGGCGUUGACUAGUCAGGGUUCGGUUAGAAAAUGUGAUUAACUUCAACACUAGUUACAAAAUUGAGCUAAAGCUCAGUUGCUCGUCAAUAGAGUGACUGAAGUUGCCAACCAGCUAUGAAUACAUAAAUACAUAAAAAAAAUCUAAUAUUUUAAACUUUGAAAUUAGAAAUUGUAAUGCCAUCAAAUCAAUUUUUUUCCCCCAAAAGAAACCCUAACAGUUCGUGAGCUGCCGUCGUCGCUAACAGCCAGUCAGCCGCCACCGUUCGUCGUCACUGACCAACACUCAGCCGCAAGGUUUUUGCCUUUUCUACUUUUCUUUCUUUGUUUAUUUAUUUCGAAUUGCAUCUAGUUUCAUUGAUUUGGGUGUCUCUGUGCAUGUGUUUGUUUGUCAGUAAUGAGUCAUUGAGUUGCAUCUGAUUGUCAUUUUCCUAAUUUUAUGAUUGUCAUCUUCCUAAUUUUAUGAUUGUCAUCAUAAGCUGCAAUUUGUUUGUCACUAACAUUAGCUUUAUUAGUUUGCUUGUGCUAUCAACUGAAACUUUAAGGGUUUAAUUGGUUUAUAGCUUGAGUAGUCAUGAUUUUUUAGUCUGAUUCUAUUUUGCAUAUUAGGGGUGGGCAAAAAAAGUUGAUUCGAUUCGAUUUUUUUGCCGUUUUUUUACACCCAAAAAACCGAAUUAGUAAUAUAGAGAAAAUAAUAAAACCAGUCGGUUCAGUUUUCGAUUUUAAAAAAAAAAACCAAAAAACCGAACCGAGUAUCAAAUAAACCGAAUAAUAUAAUCCCUAAACCUAAAGUGAGUAAACUGAUCUUCAAUUCAGCCACUGAACUCGUGACCUUCAGCCCCUGAACUCGUCGCUGCUGCUGCUCGUGCUCGUCCCUGCUGCUGCUGCUGCUGCUGCCGCUGCUCGUGCUCGUCGCUGCUGCUGCCGCUGUCGCUGCUCGCUGCUGCUGCUGCUGCUGCCGCUGCUCGCUGCUCGCUGCUGCUCGUCGCCGAGUGAUCUCCACAAAGCUACAACUUGUGAGUUUGCUAUUACUUGGAUUUUAAUGGUUGGAUUUUAAUGGUUUCACAUGAUGAUGUGCUCAUGCCGAGAGUAAAAACAGUAAAACUUGAAACAGAGUUUAACGUUGUUGGACUUGUGAGUGUUUGCUGUUGGAGUAGAUUUAGAUGAGCCGAGUUGGUUAGCUUCAUAGCUUUUCAAUAAUUUGCUUUGAUUAUUGUGUAAUAUAUGAUAAUUUUGUGACGAUGGUGGUUUAUAUAUGUGAUUAAAAGCUAAACUAGUGGAUUUGUAAGUAUGCACUCGGCAAAGCAUUUGAGGAGGUAUUUUCAUCUUUUCGUUAUCACAUUCCUCUAAUCAAUUAGCGUUAAUAAAAAAAAUGAUUAAUAACGUAAAUGGAGGGACUUGUGCUCAAAUCUCUAAAUUAAACUCGUGAUCAUUAAACAUUAAUAUAAGCAAACUACAAGUAGUCUAUCUUGAUCAACGUUUUCAACUCUUCCAGGACUGUCCCACUUCCAAAAUUUUUUUUUCAAACAAUUAUUGAAAGCUCAUUUCUAUAUAAUAUUUUCACAAGAAAUUUGUUGCUUUCAUAAAUGGGCAACAUUAGACAACAGCAAUGCCAAAAUUAUUGAAAAAAAAGUUUUAGUCACGGCCCUCUGCUAAGUGUCUUUAAAUGGUUGGUUAAUCCCCAAGAUUUUUUAUUUGUUGCUGCUAUUGUGUUGAUUUGUUGCUGCUGUGGUGCUAAUUUUUUUGUGUAGAAUGGAAAAUUAUGAUGAGGAAGAAGUGCAAGAGGUGGAGGUUGAUGAUGGGAAAAAAAGAAAAAUACCUUUGAGAUCAAAUGUUUGAACUUGUUAUUUGAAUAUGUUAUGUGUUAUUGAACAUUGUUUGAGACAUAUUUUGAUUUUUUGUUUGUUAAUUUUUUAUGUUUGUUGUAGAUUUAUUAAUUUAAGGUUUUAAAUUUAAAAAAGUCCAAAAUAGGCCCAAUAGGCCCAUAAUCGAAAUAAUCAAACUGAACCGAAUCGAAUUAUUUCAAUUAAUCGAGUAUUUGAUUAUUUCGGUAAUUUGAUUAAUCGCGAUUAUGAUUUUAAAAUAAUCGUAAUUGAACGAUUAUGAAAAAUUUAGUAAAAAACCGAACCGAACCGAACCGCGCCCACCCCUAUUGCAUAUUGCCCGCUUGCUUUUCUUUUAGCUCUUUUAAAAUUAUUCUUUUAGGUAUGUGUUAAAUUUCCAGGGUUUAAUUGCUUGCUUGCAUAUUGCCCGCUUGCUUUUCUUUUCUUUUGGCAGCUACGUGAGGGAACCAAAAUGAUAGACAGGUGACACAAAACAAUUUAUAGAACCCCUUUUUUUUUUGGAGGUUUGGAACACAGAACAGUAAUCAGUAACAGAUAGACAGUAUAUUUCUUUUUCUUGGGUGCUGCUAAGUUACAUUAACUGUAACUUACAGCUCACCCAAUACUAGUUUUUCACAACCCAUGAAUUAUUUGAAUAGCAACCAUUAGAGGUGUAAAGAAACUAGUUUAGCACUUAAGAUUUGGGCUUCCAGAAUCAGAUAAAAGGAUAGUUACAAACAUGCCAAAUUGAGGUACUGACAAACUUGGGUAAUAAUAUUUUUUUGCAAAUCAACAUGUGAAUGUGAUGAUGACUAGACUUGACUGUGUCCAUAGCCAACGGCACAAUUAUAUGUGAAAGUGAAAGCAAAAAGUAGACACAAAAACUGAAAAUGGCUGGCAACCUGCAUCGAAGAGAAUCCCCACUUUAGGGGUUCCUAUUGUAACUAUAUGGUUAUUCCUUCUUUCUGUCCUGCUGCAUGUAUGUGGCUUGUAGUUGAACUGGUUAGAUACGUGGAUGCUUGGUUUCUGUAGGUAUUAUUUGUGUUGUGCUCUGUAUCACGAAUCGUUCCACCGAUAUGCUUAAGUACAUGUUGCGUGAGGAGUUUACGUUGUAUAUUAAUUGAGUCUUCUCUUGGCAUUGCAACCUAUAGAAUUGUUAAAUAUGUGUCCAUCUAUUUUAGUUUCUCAAGCUACCCUGAGUGUUGUGGGAACAAUUUGUUCAUUGUUAUCAUUGCUGUGGCUGAUGCCAAAUACGAUCCAUAAUUGAUGUUCACAUGUUGGGUUUCCAGGUGUCAUUGUCAGUGAGAAAAACAGAAAAAAAAAUGGUAAUUCUAGUUACAUUGCUUUAUGUCAAGUAGGUCCAUGAUUCAUCACAUUCAAAAAUUAUAGAAAACUAUUAUCAUAUGACAUUAACAAAACACUGGAAAUAUUAGGGUGGUAGUGUCAGGAAGCCAUUUUUCAUUUAUCUGCUUUGGUUUUAAAUCCAGUACAUGGUAAAAUCAGAUUUAAUGUUUUGUAUCUGCCUAAUUCUUAAUUGUUUGCUUCUAGUAAAAUGCUAGUUUUAUAUUUGUUUUUAAAUUUUGCUUCUUGGCUUGAUUGUAGGUUCAACAUUUAAUAUGUCAAGUUCUUUGCCCACACCACACUUAAUGGAUGAUGAAGUCAAUCAAAACAUGUCCAGUUCUGUUUCAAUCUCUUGAUGAGGAGCCAGAGAUUGAAACAAAUGUAGAGGCUGUAGAGGUAUAUAGUUUUAGUUUAUAUUAUCUUGUCAAGUAUUUAUUAAGUUGAAUUGUUAAAACAUGUUUUUAUUAAUUUUUUUUUUGUUUAUGUUGUUAUAGGUUUAUGAAGAAUCUUAGAAUGUGCAUCAAUGGUGAUGGCUACAAGUUUAUGUUGAAGACUUAAAAUUAUUUUGAUUUGUUGUAUAAAAUUUAAUCAAUUGUAAUUAUGUUGAAGGCUUAAACUUAUUAUGGAGGUUGUAAUUUUAUUUCUAAUCACUUGUAAUUUUAUUAUGGAGGUUGUAAUCACUUGUAAUUUUAUUUCUAAUAUGGAAUUUGAUUAUUUGUAAUUUUAUUUCUAAAUAUGGAGGUUGUUAGAAUUAUUAUUUAAAAAAAAAAAGAAAACUGAAAUAUUUAGAAAUUAUUAUUUAAAAAAUGGGGAUCGGGUCCCCGUUUUAAUCCCCGCUCAAUUCGGGGAUUUUCGGGGAUAUACCCAAACAAUCCCCCAUUACAAUUUUUCGGGUAUGGGGCGGGUUCGGGUGGGGAUCAUGUGCCAGUCUGUGUAUGAACAAGCAAACUCUUGUAGUGUAGUGCAGAAAAACAUGAGGUGGCAGAUCAACUUAUCAGCGUAUGGAUAUUGAACUAAUGAAAUAUGUACCCCAAGGUUACUCAUUUUCAAAGCUUUGCAAAUUCUAUAUGAGUCCAAUAAUAUCCUAACAGUAACAGGACCAAUAGUGUGCAUAACCCACAAUGGAAAGGGUCCAGGCUAAGAAUAUACUGAGAAAUUUGAAAAUAAUAAUAUGAAUUAACAAAUUAACUAGAUUGAUUAGAAAAUAAUACCUCAAAAAUUGAAGCCAUAAGAGGAGAGGCAUCCGGGAAUGGUGGUGGCAAUUCAGGGAAUGGUGGUGGCUGAUAGUGGACCCAGCAAAAUACCUGCGGGCGAGUCAGUAGAUUUAUAUUUUGGGGUGUGCUUGAUUUUGGUGGCCUUCCAGGAAGUCAUAGUCCUCAUAUAUUUAGAGCAGAUAUCAUGUUCAUCUGGUUCUGGCUUUGGUGCAAGCUGUUGCAGGCAAUUAAUUAACUGGGAAGCAAAUAAAUAUUACCAAUUGAAAAAACAAACAAACUAGAAAAAAAAAACACCCACAUCUGUCGUGAAAUAAAUAUACUGUGAAAUUUGAAAAUAAUUAUGAAAUUUGAAUUAACAAAAUAAAUUAGAAAACAAUACCCCGUUUGGAGGGCAAUCGUCGAUGAAGUCAAAGCCCUCAGGUAAAUUUUGCAAUGGCCCAAGCUGUUGCAGGCAAUUAAUUAAUGAGGAAGCAAAUAAAUUUAUUUAAAAAAAAACACUCAAGGACGUCUAUCGUGAAAUUUGAAUUAAUACCUCGUAUGGAGGGCAAUUGUCCUUGAAGACAUAGCCCUCAGGCAUAUAUAUCCCAUUGGCAUAAUCUGUUGCAGGCAAUUAAUUAAAGAGGAAGCUAAAAAAUAUAUUCAGAAAAAAGAACAUCAAGGAAGUCUGUCGUGAAACUUGAAUUAACGAAAUAGAUCAGAAAAUAAUACCUUUUAACACCUCCCACUUUGGCGGAUCAGAGAAGUAAACGUUGGUAGGUUUGGGACAUGAGCAGAGAGUUGGAUCGAAGACGUAGUCCUCAGGUGUAAAUGGCGGAAACUGUUGCAGGCAAUUAAUUAACGAGGAAGCAAAUAAAUAAUAUUACCAAUUCAAAAACAGAAAAAAAAAAAUCUGCUGUGAAAUUAGAAUUAACAAAUAGAUUAGAAAAUAACCUCUAUCUUGUUCAACUCGAAUGGCGGCGAACCAGGUCUGUCGUCCAUGGUUUGGCGUUGGUGUAUUUGACUUGGGAACCGGCGAAUUUAGGCCCUAGGGAUUCCAUAUUUUAUGCAUAUUUUUAUUUUUUUUUAACCCCAUACAUUAUUUGUAAUCCCUUUGAACACGAGAAAGUUUGGUUUUAUCACAUUUAGCCCCGUCUCUUGUUGCGUUGUUGGUUUAGUCGAUGGUCACCGCUUACCUGAAAUUUUUGUUAAUUGGUUGUAUUUACAGUUUUUCAAAUCUUUAUACUUUUUUUUUUUACCAUCUUAUUUCCGGUAAAGUUUAUUCAUCAAUUUUGGGUUUUUUAAGACUAAGAUGACCGUCAUUCAAAAAAAAAAAAAAAGACUAAGAUGACCGAAAAAAAUGAAAUUGAAAGUUAAUAAUUUUUUUUAGGUAACUUUUCAAGAACUUUAAUAAGUUUUCAAACAUGAAAAAAAAAUUAUUCAUUUAAUUAAAUAAUAGGAGAAUUUUUUUUCAUUUCCCUUGUGUUAUUAUGUAAAACACAAGAAUUUAGGAGCCUCCUGAAACGAAGGAUGUCAAUGAGUUGAUACAGUGCGGGACUGUUAAUAUCCCCACCCGAACCCAUAUAAGAGGAAAAAUUUCUUUCACUGUCCCUUAAUGUGGGGCUAAACAGACAUGGGCCAUGCGUGAUUUCGUGGCAGUUUGGGUGUGUCUCCCUCGUUUAAUUGGGUGUCGCAUUUGGGAUUUUAGGAACUCUAAAAAAGUUAGCACUUGUACACAUUUAUGUUUUUUUUUUUUCCUAAUCCAUGUGUUUUUGGUAAUCCAUUUUGACCUAGAAUAUUUGGUUUUGUGAUGUUCCCCUCUCUCAUCUUUAUUGAGUGCUAAUCUUAUCUUGGAUUCUAGACUUUAUUACUGUUCAAAAAGAUUAUUAUACCAUAUGAUACAAUAAUAUAAUGAUAUUUAACUAUUAUAUGAUAUAAUGUAAUAGUAUUAUGAUUGACAAAAUAGUCUAGGCUGGUCUGGUCUGUGUGUUAAAAUAAAGGAUAUAAACUAAAAAUAUAAAGUCUGCAUAGAUUGAGUCUGACUAAGGGCUUAAGAAAAAAAAUGUAGGCUAAUUUAUAAAUAAAAAGAUAAAUUAAAUUAAAAAAAAUAAAGUAUUAGAUUAGUUUUUUUAUAUUAGUAUUUGUCAUUUAUUAUGUUGUGCUGUAAAUAUUUUGUAUAUUGAACUAUUAUUUUAUUAAAUAUUGAAUAAUCAUCUUUAAUUUAAUUUUUUUAUUUGGUUGAAAAUUUAUUUCAACAUUAAUGAAAAACCCAAUUUAGACAGACUUUUAAAGAAUUUAGACUUGUUAAUAAUAAUAUGAUUUUAGGAGUGUGCUUGAAAAAAACUUAUUCCAAGCCUGCAAUUUGCCAACUCUAAAAUAGUAUUUUCGAAAUUUUACAAAGUCAAAGUUAGAUAAUUUCUACUCUUUAUUACGUGGUCAUCGUACAAUUUAUUACUUAAAAAUGGUGGAGCCAAUAUUUCACAAAAAAAUUGUUUCUGAUGGCUGUAAGCAUACAAAACGUUUUCACCUUUUUUUUAAUCAAUAUUAUUUUUAGAUUUACCCGAUGCAGUAAACAAUGCAUUAGUCCUCUUAAGUCUUUUCUAAUAUCAUUAAAGUUUUUUUAUUAUAUAUCUACAAUGACUGUGUUGCACUAAUCUCUUUACCAAAUAAAGAAUCUGGUGCAUAUCAUGCUAUAAUCCAUGUAAAUUAUCUGAGGCCUCCCCAGUAGUAAUGGGCAAAUCGAAGUCUAAAUUUGGCUCCACAGUAUAAUAUUUUGUUUUUCUCAAAAGAAAAUUGCAGCAAUGAUAAUUGUUCUGUACUUCAGAAACAAUGGUUUAAAUUAUAUAUUUGUAAUGGAUGGAACCAAAACUCAAGCAAAUCUAUAAUAUCGGCAAUUCAAACACAUUCUGAUUUGCCCAGAUGCCUGAUUUAAGGUUGGGAACGAUACGUAUCCCUAGAGUAAUAUUCAAUUUUGAAUUUUAGAUUCAAAUGAAAACACUCCAAUUCUUAGUUCAUAAUAAGAGAUUUUUAAAUUUCAAAAACUCUUAUCAUGAACUGGGGGCCUGUGUUGAUAUAGGAAUCAAUGAUACCCCCUCGAAGGGGGCUAGAGUCUCUAAAAGAGGACAUCAUAUCUCUCGAAGGCAGGGACGAAUACUAUUAGGUGGGAAGUCUAGAAACCUUGAGGUAGGAAAUAAGGAAAGCUCAAUUUAAACAUUGAAUGAGUCAAAAGCACCAAGCUGAGGAGGUUAGAAUAUCUAACGAUUAUCACCAGCAAAGAAUCACAGAAGCAUUGCAAAAAUAGGCAAGGAAGUUUGCUACGAAACCACUACACCCAUAACACCUUAGAAAAUAGGUUAAUAACACCCUAUGCGAAAAUCAUGCCUCAUUUUCUUCUCCAUAAAGGUACUUUUAAGGAAAAAUGAAAAAGAAAAUAUGUGGACACUCUACUGAACUAGAACUAUUGAUAUUCAACUUCAAAGGGAAAGAUACUGACUUAAUCAUCAGAGGAGGCACAGUGGCACACCAAAAACCACCAUUUCCAGCCCCAUUUUAUUCCACCCACCAAUACAAUACGAAUACAAUAGUGAAGGAGGUACUAACAGACUUGGCAAAAAUUUUAUUCCACCCACCAAUACAAUACCAAUCCACACGAUAAAUAUAGUUGUUAUUGGGCAACCCAUUAAGAGUUAGAUUUAGGUCAAAGUAUUAAAACCAUUUCACACAAUCCAUUACACUUAAUAUUAACAGUUUAAUAAAUUUAAUAGCUUAAAUUAAGUAAAUUGACUUUAAAUUUAAUAAUUGUAUAAAGUUAUCACAAAUGAUUCAUUUGGAUAAAAACAUUUUGUUUUCGGGAAAACACAGCAGUAUACUUAAGAUCUCAUAAAAGUAGUUUUAAUUACUAUAACUAUAUAUAUAUAGUAAAUCAUAACUUACACCAUGAACUUUCGCACGUUCGGAUGGUUCUUUAACACUGGAUAUCCUCUAACUUUAUCAAAUACUUCAUAUUUUAGGAUGGGAAAAGCCGACGCGCCACUUCUUUGGUUGGAAAAAUCCUUCUCUGCAAGCGAAAAUUGGGACAACGAUCUUGAGAAGAACGGUAGUGAGUCGUGGUGUUGCGUACGAAACGCAACAAGUCAUAACUCGUAACAGGUUUUCCUUCACCAGGAUAAUACUCAGUGUCUUUAAAGAAGUUUUUCAUAUCGGUCCCCAUUUUGCUCCACCAAUCAAGACAAGUUAACACACUAUCAGCAAACCCCCUGUUGAAUCCAGGUUCUUCAUUCAAUGUAUCAACGACCUCAAUUAAAAAUUGAAUUGACUUCUCAGGGGACCAGAAGAAAGGAAAAUUUUGACUACCUGCUGGUCUCGUCCUAGAAAUAUGUGCAUAAACUUAUUAGAAAAUAAAAAACUAUAAUUAAAAUUAAAAAACUAUUAAUUAUAAACUAAAAAGCCAAACCUUACCUUUCAGUUAACAAACUACAGACAACUUGUAUGUAGCCUUUUUUGAGGUCACCAGACAAAAGAUGAUAUCUAACUUAUCUGUUUGCUCUGAUUUCAUUCUCAAUGGCAUUUGAUGACUUGCCGAAGUAUGCAUGGUGACCACCAGAAAAGAGAAAAAACAAGAUUAAUCCAAGGCUGAAGCUAUAUGAUCUUGUUGGUGAUCGAUUAGUACCAGUCAGGAUUUCAACUGAUCGCCACCUUUCUGAACCUACAAUAAAGAACACAAAGUAAGCAUCAAAUUAUAUUAAGAAGUUACAAUUAACAAAUUCUAAUGGACAAAUUACUUACCCUGGCUGCUGGUCAGGUUCAAUUCAAUUUUAGCGUGCCACCUUCUUAGUCCACGUUUGAGUAGGACGUUACUUGGAGUUAAAUUUCCAUGAAAAUGACCGCACUCAUGAAGAAAAGCAACGCCUUUGAUUAUAUCCCUACGCAGAACAUUCAAAAUUUUAGUGCAUGUCAAGAUAUAUUCUUGGGGCAAAAAAAAAAAAAAUGGCAAAACGAGUAUACUUACAAGGCUAUAUUCGUAUAAUCCAGGCUUAACUCUCUGGCCUACUCAUGAGUCCUGAACACUUCUUUAAAGUUUUCGACUAUCAUUGUUGUUCUCGGUUCUGACUUAUAUGUAAAAAAUAGCUCCAGGCUGAUCAAGCACGGUUCCAUAAACAGUGUAAAUUUCGUCUUGUCAUUGUUCUCAAUUAAUCCAAAGAAGCUCACCACAAAGUCUGAACGGAUAUCUUUCAGAUAUUCAAGUCUUCCAUCCAGGAUAUCUUUCUUCUUAAUCGUCUUUACAACCACAUGUCGGCCAUAAUCAUCCAUACCCUUAUAUCCAGGCUUUUUCCUUCGCUGAAUCGUCUUUACAACCACAUGUCGGCCAUAAUCAUCCAUACCCUAUAUCCAGGCUUUUCCUUUGCUGAAACAAAAAUAUAGUUGCCAUCAAUCAGCAUUUACAAUUCCCUGACUGUCCUUUGCUGUUUUCUUCAGCUUCUCCUAAAUUUUAAAGGCAAUUUAAUAAACACAUUAAUGGCAAUCCAACUCAUUCUGAUUUCGAUUCUUACAGUUCAAGUAAACAACUAUUUUGAUUUCCAUUCUCUAUUUUCAUUUCAGCUCAUUCCCAUUCCAAUCAAUUCCGAUUCUAGUUUAGUAAAUGCAGCAUAAUACUAUAAGGAGUGUUAAUAUCAUGUAAUGAGGGCUACCAAACAUGCCCUUGAUGUAGGCAGGGACGAAUACUAUUAGGUGGGAAGUCUGGAAACCUUGAGGUAGGAAAUAUGGAAAGCUCAAUUUAAACAUUGAAUGAGUCAAAAGCACCAAGCUGAGGAGGCUAGAAUAUCUAACGAUUAUCACCAGCAAAGAAUCACAGAAGCAUUGCAAAAAUAGGCAAGGAAGUUGCUACGAAACCACUACACCCGUAACACCUUAGAAAAUAGGUUAAUAACACCCUCUGCGAAAAUCAUGCCUCAUUUUCUUCUCUAUAAAGGUACUUUAUGGAAAAUGAAAAAGAAAAUGUGGACACUCUACUGAACUAGAACUAUUGAGAUUCAACUCCGAAGGGAAAGAUACUGACUUAAUCAUCAGAGGAGGCACAGUGGCACACCAAAAACCACCAUUUCCAGCCCCAUUUUAUUCCACCCGCCAAUACAAUACCAAUCCACACGAUAAAUAUAGCUGUUAUUGGCAACCCAUUAAGAGUUAGAUUUAGGUCAAAGUAUUAAAACCAUUUCACACAAUCCAUUACACUUAAUAUUAACAGUUUAAUAAAUUUAAUAGCUUAAAUUAAGUAAAUUGACUUUAAAUUUAAUAAUUGUAUAAAGUUAUCACAAAUGAUUCAUUUGGAUAAAAACAUUUUGUUUUCGGGAAAACACAGCAGUAUACUUAAGAUCUCAUAAAAGUAGUCUUAAUUACUAUAUCUAUAUAUAUAUAGUAAAUCAUAACUUACACCAUGAACUUUCGCACGUUCGGAUGGUUCUUUAACACUGGAUAUCCUCUAACUUUAUCAAAUACUUCAUAUUUUAGGAUGGGAAAAGCCGACGCGCCACUUCUUUGGUUGGAAAAAUCCUUCUCUGCAAGCGAAAAUUGGGACAACGAUCUUGAGAAGAACGGUAGUGAGUCGUGGUGUUGCGUACGAAACGCAACAAGUCAUAACUCGUAACAGGUUGACCUUCACCAGGAUAAUACUCAGUGUCUUUAAAGAAGUUUUUCAUAUCGGUCCCCAUUUUGCUCCACCAAUCAAGACAAGUUAACACACUAUCAGCAAACCCCCUGUUGAAUCCAGGUUCUUCAUUCAAUGUAUCAACGACCUCAAUUAAAAAUUGAAUUGACUUCUCAGGGGACCAGAAUAAAGGAAAAUUUUGACUAUCUGCUGGUCUCGUCCUAGAAAUAUGUGCAUAAACUUAUUAGAAAAUAAAAAACUAUAAUUAAAAUUAAAAAACUAUUAAUUAUAAACUAAAAAGCCAAACCUUACCUUUCAGUUAACAAACUACAGACAACUUGUAUGUAGCCUUUUUUGAGGUCACCAGACAAAAGAUGAUAUCUAACUGAUCUGUUUGCUCUGAUUUCAUUCUCAAUGGCAUUUGAUGACUUGCCGAAGUAUGCAUGGUGACCACCAGAAAAGAGAAAAAACAAGAUUAAUCCAAGGCUGAAGCUAUAUGAUCUUGUUGGUGAUCGAUUAGUACCAGUCAGGAUUUCAACUGAUCGCCACCUUUCCGAACCUANNNNNNNNNNNNNNNNNNNNNNNNNNNNNNNNNNNNNNNNNNNNNNNNNNNNNNNNNNNNNNNNNNNNNNNNNNNNNNNNNNNNNNNNNNNNNNNNNNNNNNNNNNNNNNNNNNNNNNNNNNNNNNNNNNNNNNNNNNNNNNNNNNNNNNNNNNNNNNNNNNNNNNNNNNNNNNNNNNNNNNNNNNNNNNNNNNNNNNNNNNNNNNNNNNNNNNNNNNNNNNNNNNNNNNNNNNNNNNNNNNNNNNNNNNNNNNNNNNNNNNNNNNNNNNNNNNNNNNNNNNNNNNNNNNNNNNNNNNNNNNNNNNNNNNNNNNNNNNNNNNNNNNNNNNNNNNNNNNNNNNNNNNNNNNNNNNNNNNNNNNNNNNNNNNNNNNNNNNNNNNNNNNNNNNNNNNNNNNNNNNNNNNNNNNNNNNNNNNNNNNNNNNNNNNNNNNNNNNNNNNNNNNNNNNNNNNNNNNNNNNNNNNNNNNNNNNNNNNNNNNNNNNNNNNNNNNNNNNNNNCCAAUACAAUACCAAUCCACACGAUAAAUAUAGCUGUUAUUGGGCAACCCAUUAAGAGUUAGAUUUAGGUCAAAGUAUUAAAACCAUUUCACACAAUCCAUUACACUUAAUAUUAACAGUUUAAUAAAUUUAAUAGCUUAAAUUAAGUAAAUUGACUUUAAAUUUAAUAAUUGUAUAAAGUUAUCACAAAUGAUUCAUUUGGAUAAAAACAUUUUGUUUUCGGGAAAACACAGCAGUAUACUUAAGAUCUCAUAAAAGUAGUCUUAAUUACUAUAUCUAUAUAUAUAUAGUAAAUCAUAACUUACACCAUGAACUUUCGCACGUUCGGAUGGUUCUUUAACACUGGAUAUCCUCUAACUUUAUCAAAUACUUCAUAUUUUAGGAUGGGAAAAGCCGACGCGCCACUUCUUUGGUUGGAAAAAUCCUUCUCUGCAAGCGAAAAUUGGGACACGAUCUUGAGAAGAACGGUAGUGAGUCGUGGUGUUGCGUACGAAACGCAACAAGUCAUAACUCGUAACAGGUUGACCUUCACCAGGAUAAUACUCAGUGUCUUUAAAGAAGUUUUUCAUAUCGGUCCCCAUUUUGCUCCACCAAUCAAGACAAGUUAACACACUAUCAGCAAACCCCCUGUUGAAUCCAGGUUCUUCAUUCAAUGUAUCAACGACCUCAAUUAAAAAUUGAAUUGACUUCUCAGGGGACCAGAAUAAAGGAAAAUUUUGACUAUCUGCUGGUCUCGUCCUAGAAAUAUGUGCAUAAACUUAUUAGAAAAUAAAAAACUAUAAUUAAAAUUAAAAAACUAUUAAUUAUAAACUAAAAAGCCAAACCUUACCUUUCAGUUAACAAACUACAGACAACUUGUAUGUAGCCUUUUUUGAGGUCACCAGACAAAAGAUGAUAUCUAACUGAUCUGUUUGCUCUGAUUUCAUUCUCAAUGGCAUUUGAUGACUUGCCGAAGUAUGCAUGGUGACCACCAGAAAAGAGAAAAAACAAGAUUAAUCCAAGGCUGAAGCUAUAUGAUCUUGUUGGUGAUCGAUUAGUACCAGUCAGGAUUUCAACUGAUCGCCACCUUUCCGAACCUACAAUAAAGAACACAAAGUAAGCAUCAAAUUAUAUUAAGAAGUUACAAUUAACAAAUUCUAAUGGACAAAUUACUUACCCUGGCUGCUGGUCAGGUUCAAUUCAAUUUUAGCGUGCCACCUUCUUGGUCCACGUUUGAGUAGGACGUUACUUGGAGUUAAAUUUCUAUGAAAAUGACCGCACUCAUGAAGAAAAGCAACGCCUUUGAUUAUAUCCCUACGCAGAACAUUCAAAUUUAUGCAUGUCAAGAUAUAUUCUUGGGGCAAAAAAAAAAAAAAAAUGGCAAAACGAGUAUACUUACAAGGCUAUAUCGUAUAAUCCUGGCUUAACUCCCUGGCCUGCUCUCAUGAGUCCUGAACACUUCUUUAAAGUUUUCGGCUAUCAUUGUUGUUCUCGUUCUGACUUAUAUAUAAAAAAAGCUCCAGGCUGAUCAAGCACGGUUCCAUAAACAGUGCAAAAUUUCGUCUUGUCAUUGUUCUCAAUUAAUCCAAAGAAGCUCACCACAAAGUCUAAACCGAUAUCUUUCAUAUAUUCAAGUCUUCCAUCCAGGAUAUCUUUCUUCUUAAUCGUCUUUACAACCACAUGUCGGCCAUAAUCAUCCAUACCCCUAUAUCCAGGCUUUUCCUUCGCUGAAUCGUCUUUACAACCACAUGUCGGCCAUAAUCAUCCAUACCCCUAUAUCCAGGCUUUUCCUUUGCUGAAACAAAAAUAUAGUUGCCAUCAAUCAGCAAUUUACAAUUCCCUGACUGUCCUUUGCUGUUUUCUUCAGCUUCUCCUAAAUUUUAAAGGCAAUUUAAUAAACACAUUAAUGGCAAUCCAACUCAUUCUGAUUUCGAUUCUUACAGUUCAAGUAAACAACUUAUUUUGAUUUCCAUUCUCCUAUUUUCAUUUCAGCUCAUUCCCAUUCCAAUCAAUUCCGAUUCUAGUUUAGUAAAUGCAGCAUAAUACUAUAAGGAGUGUUAAUAUCAUGUAAUGAGGGCUACCAAACAUGCCCUUGAUGUAGGCAGGGACGAAUACUAUUAGGUGGGAAGUCUGGAAACCUUGAGGUAGGAAAUAUGGAAAGCUCAAUUUAAACAUUGAAUGAGUCAAAAGCACCAAGCUGAGGAGGCUAGAAUAUCUAACGAUUAUCACCAGCAAAGAAUCACAGAAGCAUUGCAAAAAUAGGCAAGGAAGUUUGCUACGAAACCACUACACCCGUAACACCUUAGAAAAUAGGUUAAUAACACCCUCUGCGAAAAAUCAUGCCUCAUUUUCUUCUCUAUAAAGGUACCUUUAUGGAAAAAUGAAAAAGAAAAUAUGUGGACACUCUACUGAACUAGAAACUAUUGAGAUUCAACUCCGAAGGGAAAGAUACUGACUUAAUCAUCAGAGGAGGCACAGUGGCACACCAAAAACCACCAUUUCCAGCCCCAUUUUAUUCCACCCGCCAAUACAAUACCAAUCCACACGAUAAAUAUAGUUGUUAUUGGGCAACCCAUUAAGAGUUAGAUUUAGGUCAAAGUAUUAAAACCAUUUCACACAAUCCAUUACACUUAAUAUUAACAGUUUAAUAAAUUUAAUAGCUUAAAUUAAGUAAAUUGACUUUAAAUUUAAUAAUUGUAUAAAGUUAUCACAAAUGAUUCAUUUGGAUAAAAACAUUUUGUUUUCGGGAAAACACAACAGUAUACUUAAGAUCUCAUAAAAGUAGUCCUUAAUUACUAUAUCUAUAUAUAUAUAGUAAAUCAUAACUUACACCAUGAACUUUCGCACGUUCGGAUGGUUCGUUAACACUGGAUAUCCUCUAACUUUAUCAAAUACUUCAUAUUUUAGGAUGGGAAAAGCCGACGCGCCACUUCUUUGGUUGGAAAAAUCCUUCUCUGCAAGCGAAAAUUGGGACAACGAUCUUGAGAAGAACGGUAGUGAGUCGUGGUGUUGCGUACGAAACACAACAAGUCAUAACUCGUAACAGGUUGACCUUCACCAGGAUAAUACUCAGUGUCUUUAAAGAAGUUUUUCAUAUCGGUCCCCAUUUUGCUCCACCAAUCAAGACAAGUUAACACACUAUCAGCAAACCCCCUGUUGAAUCCAGGUUCUUCAUUCAAUGUAUCAACGACCUCAAUUAAAAAUUGAAUUGACUUCUCAGGGGACCAGAAUAAAGGAAAAUUUUGACUAUCUGCUGGUGUCGUCCUAGAAAUAUGUGCAUAAACUUAUUAGAAAAUAAAAAACUAUAAUUAAAAUUAAAAAACUAUUAAUUAUAAACUAAAAAGCCAAACCUUACCUUUUAGUUAACAAACUACAGACAACUUGUAUGUAGCCUUUUUUGAGGUCACCAGACAAAAGAUGAUAUCUAACUUAUCUGUUUGCUCUGAUUUCAUUCUCAAUGGCAUUUGAUGACUUGCCGAAGUAUGCAUGGUGACCACCAGAAAAGAGAAAAAACAAGAUUAAUCCAAGGCUGAAGCUAUAUGAUCUUGUUGGUGAUCGAUUAGUACCAGUCAGGAUUUCAACUGAUCGCCACCUUUCUGAACCUACAAUAAAGAACACAAAGUAAGCAUCAAAUUAUAUUAAGAAGUUACAAUUAACAAAUUCUAAUGGACAAAUUACUUACCCUGGCUGCUGGUCAGGUUCAAUUCAAUUUUAGCGUGCCACCUUCUUAGUCCACGUUUGAGUAGGACGUUACUUGGAGUUAAAUUUCCAUGAAAAUGACCGCACUCAUGAAGAAAAGCAACGCCUUUGAUUAUAUCCCUACGCAGAACAUUCAAAUUUAGUGCAUGUCAAGAUAUAUUCUUGGGGCAAAAAAAAAAAAAUGGCAAAACGAGUAUACUUACAAGGCUAUAUUCGUAUAAUCCAGGCUUAACUCUCUGGCCUACUCAUGAGUCCUGAACACUUCUUUAAAGUUUUCGACUAUCAUUGUUGUUCUCGGUUCUGACUUAUAUGUAAAAAAUAGCUCCAGGCUGAUCAAGCACGGUUCCAUAAACAGUGUAAAUUUCGUCUUGUCAUUGUUCUCAAUUAAUCCAAAGAAGCUCACCACAAAGUCUGAACGGAUAUCUUUCAGAUAUUCAAGUCUUCCAUCCAGGAUAUCUUUCUUCUUAAUCGUCUUUACAACCACAUGUCGGCCAUAAUCAUCCAUACCCUUAUAUCCAGGCUUUUCCUUCGCUGAAUCGUCUUUACAACCACAUGUCGGCCAUAAUCAUCCAUACCCCUAUAUCCAGGCUUUUCCUUUGCUGAAACAAAAAUAUAGUUGCCAUCAAUCAGCAUUUACAAUUCCCUGACUGUCCUUUGCUGUUUUCUUCAGCUUCUCCUAAAUUUUAAAGGCAAUUUAAUAAACACAUUAAUGGCAAUCCAACUCAUUCUGAUUUCGAUUCUUACAGUUCAAGUAAACAACUUAUUUUGAUUUCCAUUCUCUAUUUUCAUUUCAGCUCAUUCCCAUUCCAAUCAAUUCCGAUUCUAGUUUAGUAAAUGCAGCAUAAUACUAUAAGGAGUGUUAAUAUCAUGUAAUGAGGGCUACCAAACAUGCCCUUGAUGUAGGCAGGGACGAAUACUAUUAGGUGGGAAGUCUGGAAACCUUGAGGUAGGAAAUAUGGAAAGCUCAAUUUAAACAUUGAAUGAGUCAAAAGCACCAAGCUGAGGAGGCUAGAAUAUCUAACGAUUAUCACCAGCAAAGAAUCACAGAAGCAUUGCAAAAAUAGGCAAGGAAGUUUGCUACGAAACCACUACACCCGUAACACCUUAGAAAAUAGGUUAAUAACACCCUCUGCGAAAAUCAUGCCUCAUUUUCUUCUCUAUAAAGGUACCUUUAAGGAAAAAUGAAAAAGAAAAUAUGUGGACACUCUACUGAACUAGAACUAUUGAGAUUCAACUCCGAAGGGAAAGAUACUGACUUAAUCAUCAGAGGAGGCACAGUGGCACACCAAAAACCACCAUUUCCAGCCCCAUUUUAUUCCACCCACCAAUACAAUACCAAUCCACACGAUAAAUAUAGCUGUUAUUGGGCAACCCAUUAAGAGUUAGAUUUAGGUCAAAGUAUUAAAACCAUUUCACACAAUCCAUUACACUUAAUAUUAACAGUUUAAUAAAUUUAAUAGCUUAAAUUAAGUAAAUUGACUUUAAAUUUAAUAAUUGUAUAAAGUUAUCACAAAUGAUUCAUUUGGAUAAAAACAUUUUGUUUUCGGGAAAACACAACAGUAUACUUAAGAUCUCAUAAAAGUAGUCUUAAUUACUAUAUCUAUAUAUAUAUAGUAAAUCAUAACUUACACCAUGAACUUUCGCACGUUCGGAUGGUUCGUUAACACUGGAUAUCCUCUAACUUUAUCAAAUACUUCAUAUUUUAGGAUGGGAAAAGCCGACGCGCCACUUCUUUGGUUGGAAAAAUCCUUCUCUGCAAGCGAAAAUUGGGACAACGAUCUUGAGAAGAACGGUAGUGAGUCGUGGUGUUGCGUACGAAACGCAACAAGUCAUAACUCGUAACAGGUUGACCUUCACCAGGAUAAUACUCAGUGUCUUUAAAGAAGUUUUUCAUAUCGGUCCCCAUUUUGCUCCACCAAUCAAGACAAGUUAACACACUAUCAGCAAACCCCCUGUUGAAUCCAGGUUCUUCAUUCAAUGUAUCAACGACCUCAAUUAAAAAUUGAAUUGACUUCUCAGGGGACCAGAAUAAAGGAAAAUUUUGACUAUCUGCUGGUGUCGUCCUAGAAAUAUGUGCAUAAACUUAUUAGAAAAUAAAAAACUAUAAUUAAAAUUAAAAAACUAUUAAUUAUAAACUAAAAAGCCAAACCUUACCUUUCAGUUAACAAACUACAGACAACUUGUGUGUAGCCUUUUUUGAGGUCACCAGACAAAAGAUGAUAUCUAGCUGAUCUGUUUGCUCUUAUUUCAUUCUCAAUGGCAUUUGAUGACUUGCCGAAGUAUGCAUGGUGACCACCAGAAAAGAGAAAAAACAAGAUUAAUCCAAGGCUGAAGCUAUAUGAUCUUGUUGGUGAUCGAUUAGUACCAGUCAGGAUUUCAACUGAUCGCCACCUUUCCGAACCUACAAUAAAGAACACAAAGUAAACAUCAAAUUAUAUUAAGAAGUUAAAAUUAACAAAUUCUAAUGGACAAAUUACUUACCCUGGCUGCUGGUCAGGUUCAAUUCAAUUUUAGCGUGCCACCUUCUUAGUCCACGUUUGAGUAGGACGUUACUUGGAGUUAAAUUUCCAUGAAAAUGACCGCACUCAUGAAGAAAAGCAACGCCUUUGAUUAUAUCCCUACGCAGAACAUUCAAAUUUAGUGCAUGUCAAGAUAUAUUCUUGGGGCAAAAAAAAAAAAAUGGCAAAACGAGUAUACUUACAAGGCUAUAUUCGUAUAAUCCAGGCUUAACUCUCUGGCCUACUCAUGAGUCCUGAACACUUCUUUAAAGUUUUCGACUAUCAUUGUUGUUCUCGGUUCUGACUUAUAUGUAAAAAAUAGCUCCAGGCUGAUCAAGCACGGUUCCAUAAACAGUGUAAAUUUCGUCUUGUCAUUGUUCUCAAUUAAUCCAAAGAAGCUCACCACAAAGUCUGAACGGAUAUCUUUCAGAUAUUCAAGUCUUCCAUCCAGGAUAUCUUUCUUCUUAAUCGUCUUUACAACCACAUGUCGGCCAUAAUCAUCCAUACCCUUAUAUCCAGGCUUUUCCUUCGCUGAAUCGUCUUUACAACCACAUGUCGGCCAUAAUCAUCCAUACCCCUAUAUCCAGGCUUUUCCUUUGCUGAAACAAAAAUAUAGUUGCCAUCAAUCAGCAUUUACAAUUCCCUGACUGUCCUUUGCUGUUUUCUUCAGCUUCUCCUAAAUUUUAAAGGCAAUUUAAUAAACACAUUAAUGGCAAUCCAACUCAUUCUGAUUUCGAUUCUUACAGUUCAAGUAAACAACUUAUUUUGAUUUCCAUUCUCUAUUUUCAUUUCAGCUCAUUCCCAUUCCAAUCAAUUCCGAUUCUAGUUUAGUAAAUGCAGCAUAAUACUAUAAGGAGUGUUAAUAUCAUGUAAUGAGGGCUACCAAACAUGCCCUUGAUGUAGGCAGGGACGAAUACUAUUAGGUGGGAAGUCUGGAAACCUUGAGGUAGGAAAUAUGGAAAGCUCAAUUUAAACAUUGAAUGAGUCAAAAGCACCAAGCUGAGGAGGCUAGAAUAUCUAACGAUUAUCACCAGCAAAGAAUCACAGAAGCAUUGCAAAAAUAGGCAAGGAAGUUUGCUACGAAACCACUACACCCGUAACACCUUAGAAAAUAGGUUAAUAACACCCUCUGCGAAAAUCAUGCCUCAUUUUCUUCUCUAUAAAGGUACCUUUAAGGAAAAAUGAAAAAGAAAAUAUGUGGACACUCUACUGAACUAGAACUAUUGAGAUUCAACUCCGAAGGGAAAGAUACUGACUUAAUCAUCAGAGGAGGCACAGUGGCACACCAAAAACCACCAUUUCCAGCCCCAUUUUAUUCCACCCACCAAUACAAUACCAAUCCACACGAUAAAUAUAGCUGUUAUUGGGCAACCCAUUAAGAGUUAGAUUUAGGUCAAAGUAUUAAAACCAUUUCACACAAUCCAUUACACUUAAUAUUAACAGUUUAAUAAAUUUAAUAGCUUAAAUUAAGUAAAUUGACUUUAAAUUUAAUAAUUGUAUAAAGUUAUCACAAAUGAUUCAUUUGGAUAAAAACAUUUUGUUUUCGGGAAAACACAACAGUAUACUUAAGAUCUCAUAAAAGUAGUCUUAAUUACUAUAUCUAUAUAUAUAUAGUAAAUCAUAACUUACACCAUGAACUUUCGCACGUUCGGAUGGUUCGUUAACACUGGAUAUCCUCUAACUUUAUCAAAUACUUCAUAUUUUAGGAUGGGAAAAGCCGACGCGCCACUUCUUUGGUUGGAAAAAUCCUUCUCUGCAAGCGAAAAUUGGGACAACGAUCUUGAGAAGAACGGUAGUGAGUCGUGGUGUUGCGUACGAAACGCAACAAGUCAUAACUCGUAACAGGUUGACCUUCACCAGGAUAAUACUCAUUGUCUUUAAAGAAGUUUUUCAUAUCGGUCCCCAUUUUGCUCCACCAAUCAAGACAAGUUAACACACUAUCAGCAAACCCCCUGUUGAAUCCAGGUUCUUCAUUCAAUGUAUCAACGACCUCAAUUAAAAAUUGAAUUGACUUCUCAGGGGACCAGAAUAAAGGAAAAUUUUGACUAUCUGCUGGUGUCGUCCUAGAAAUAUGUGCAUAAACUUAUUAGAAAAUAAAAAACUAUAAUUAAAAUUAAAAAAACUAUUAAUUAUAAACUAAAAAGCCAAACCUUACCUUUCAGUUAACAAACUACAGACAACUUGUGUGUAGCCUUUUUUGAGGUCACCAGACAAAAGAUGAUAUCUAGCUGAUCUGUUUGCUCUUAUUUCAUUCUCAAUGGCAUUUGAUGACUUGCCGAAGUAUGCAUGGUGACCACCAGAAAAGAGAAAAAAACAAGAUUAAUCCAAGGCUGAAGCUAUAUGAUCUUGUUGGUGAUCGAUUAGUACCAGUCAGGAUUUCAACUGAUCGCCACCUUUCCGAACCUACAAUAAAGAACACAAAGUAAACAUCAAAUUAUAUUAAGAAGUUAAAAUUAACAAAUUCUAAUGGACAAAUUACUUACCCUGGCUGCUGGUCAGGUUCAAUUCAAUUUUAGCGUGCCACCUUCUUAGUCCACGUUUGAGUAGGACGUUACUUGGAGUUAAAUUUCCAUGAAAAUGACCGCACUCAUGAAGAAAAGCAACGCCUUUGAUUAUAUCCCUACGCAGAACAUUCAAAUUUAGUGCAUGUCAAGAUAUAUUCUUGGGGCAAAAAAAAAAAAAUGGCAAAACGAGUAUACUUACAAGGCUAUAUUCGUAUAAUCCAGGCUUAACUCUCUGGCCUACUCAUGAGUCCUGAACACUUCUUUAAAGUUUUCGGCUAUCAUUGUUGUUCUCGGUUUUGACUUAUAUAUAAAAAAUAGCUCCAGGCUGAUCAAGCACGGUUCCAUAAACAGUGUAAAUUUCGUCUUGUCAUUGUUCUCAAUUAAUCCAAAGAAGCUCACCACAAAGUCUGAACGGAUAUCUUUCAGAUAUUCAAGUCUUCCAUCCAGGAUAUCUUUCUUCUUAAUCGUCUUUACAACCACAUGUCGGCCAUAAUCAUCCAUACCCUUAUAUCCAGGCUUUUCCUUCGCUGAAUCGUCUUUACAACCACAUGUCGGCCAUAAUCAUCCAUACCCCUAUAUCCAGGCUUUUCCUUUGCUGAAACAAAAAUAUAGUUGCCAUCAAUCAGCAUUUACAAUUCCCUGACUGUCCUUUGCUGUUUUCUUCAGCUUCUCCUAAAUUUUAAAGGCAAUUUAAUAAACACAUUAAUGGCAAUCCAACUCAUUCUGAUUUCGAUUCUUACAGUUCAAGUAAACAACUUAUUUUGAUUUCCAUUCUCUAUUUUCAUUUCAGCUCAUUCCCAUUCCAAUCAAUUCCGAUUCUAGUUUAGUAAAUGCAGCAUAAUACUAUAAGGAGUGUUAAUAUCAUGUAAUGAGGGCUACCAAACAUGCCCUUGAUGUAGGCAGGGACAAAUACUAUUAGGUGGGAAGUCUGGAAACCUUGAGGUAGGAAAUAUGGAAAGCUCAAUUUAAACAUUGAAUGAGUCAAAAGCACCAAGCUGAGGAGGCUAGAAUAUCUAACGAUUAUCACCAGCAAAGAAUCACAGAAGCAUUGCAAAAAUAGGCAAGGAAGUUUGCUACGAAACCACUACACCCGUAACACCUUAGAAAAUAGGUUAAUAACACCCUCUGCGAAAAUCAUGCCUCAUUUUCUUCUCUAUAAAGGUACCUUUAUGGAAAAAUGAAAAAGAAAAUAUGUGGACACUCUACUGAACUAGAACUAUUGAGAUUCAACUCCGAAGGGAAAGAUACUGACUUAAUCAUCAGAGGAGGCACAGUGGCACACCAAAAACCACCAUUUCCAGCCCCAUUUUAUUCCACCCGCCAAUACAAUACCAAUCCACACGAUAAAUAUAGUUGUUAUUGGGCAACCCAUUAAGAGUUAGAUUUAGGUCAAAGUAUUAAAACCAUUUCACACAAUCCAUUACACUUAAUAUUAACAGUUUAAUAAAUUUAAUAGCUUAAAUUAAGUAAAUUGACUUUAAAUUUAAUAAUUGUAUAAAGUUAUCACAAAUGAUUCAUUUGGAUAAAAACAUUUUGUUUUCGGGAAAACACAACAGUAUACUUAAGAUCUCAUAAAAGUAGUCUUAAUUACUAUAUCUAUAUAUAUAUAGUAAAUCAUAACUUACACCAUGAACUUUCGCACGUUCGGAUGGUUCGUUAACACUGGAUAUCCUCUAACUUUAUCAAAUACUUCAUAUUUUAGGAUGGGAAAAGCCGACGCGCCACUUCUUUGGUUGGAAAAAUCCUUCUCUGCAAGCGAAAAUUGGGACAACGAUCUUGAGAAGAACGGUAGUGAGUCGUGGUGUUGCGUACGAAACGCAACAAGUCAUAACUCGUAACAGGUUGACCUUCACCAGGAUAAUACUCAGUGUCUUUAAAGAAGUUUUUCAUAUCGGUCCCCAUUUUGCUCCACCAAUCAAGACAAGUUAACACACUAUCAGCAAACCCCCUGUUGAAUCCAGGUUCUUCAUUCAAUGUAUCAACGACCUCAAUUAAAAAUUGAAUUGACUUCUCAGGGGACCAGAAUAAAGGAAAAUUUUGACUAUCUGCUGGUGUCGUCCUAGAAAUAUGUGCAUAAACUUAUUAGAAAAUAAAAAACUAUAAUUAAAAUUAAAAAACUAUUAAUUAUAAACUAAAAAGCCAAACCUUACCUUUCAGUUAACAAACUACAGACAACUUGUGUGUAGCCUUUUUUGAGGUCACCAGACAAAAGAUGAUAUCUAGCUGAUCUGUUUGCUCUUAUUUCAUUCUCAAUGGCAUUUGAUGACUUGCCGAAGUAUGCAUGGUGACCACCAGAAAAGAGAAAAAACAAGAUUAAUCCAAGGCUGAAGCUAUAUGAUCUUGUUGGUGAUCGAUUAGUACCAGUCAGGAUUUCAACUGAUCGCCACCUUUCCGAACCUACAAUAAAGAACACAAAGUAAACAUCAAAUUAUAUUAAGAAGUUAAAAUUAACAAAUUCUAAUGGACAAAUUACUUACCCUGGCUGCUGGUCAGGUUCAAUUCAAUUUUAGCGUGCCACCUUCUUGGUCCACGUUUGAGUAGGACGUUACUUGGAGUUAAAUUUCCAUGAAAAUGACCGCACUCAUGAAGAAAAGCAACGCCUUUGAUUAUAUCCCUACGCAGAACAUUCAAAUUUAGUGCAUGUCAAGAUAUAUUCUUGGGGCAAAAAAAAAAAUGGCAAAACGAGUAUACUUACUAGGCUAUAUCCAUACACACAACUCAAUUAAAUCCCCCAUUACACUUUUAUUACACAAAAACUAAAAAUAUCUUAUGUUAGAGGAAUUUCAUCAAACACCUAAUAUCCGAUAUUUAUAACUCAUCAUUUUAACUAAAUAUUUUUUUUCAUUAUACCACUCCAACAACCUAUAAUCAUCUAGAAUCCCAAUCAAAUGCACUCAAAUUAUUAUAAAAUGUUGAAGUUUGCUCACCUAGGGUUUGAACUCUUUUCAAUUUCUUGGAUUCUUUAUUUUUAGUUCAUCGUCGUCGUGUUCAUCAUUGUUGCUAUCAUCGUUGCCGUCGCUGGUUGCCAGUUGCUGUUCGUCGUUCAAGAGCACAAAUUUGUAGUGUGGCUAGAGAGAGUUUAGAGUAUGGGAAUGUGAAGGGUAAUUUAAGGUAAUUUUUUAUUUAGUUAUAAUAGAAAAAAAUUAGAUGAGUUAAAUUAAAAAAUUAAAAAAAUUUUAAGAUUAUUUUUGUAAAUUUCUCCUCUCAGCUCUCUUAUGUCACCUUCCGAAAAAUUCUAGAAUACAUUUGUUGUACUAUAUCACCCAUAUAACAAACAAAUAAUAUCAUAACAUGUGUGUAUUUAUUUUGUAAACUAUCAUUUAAGUGGUGGUUGUAUUAAACUCAAUUACACAUGUUAUACAUGCAUUAAUUGGUUGUAAUACAACAUAUGUAUUUUAAGAUUAUUCGUGACCUUCCCCGUAAUUGUACUAUUCCAAUAAUAAAUGCCUAAAGAGUGCUUUUACAUAAAAGCCCUCUAUUUCCAACUAAUCACCUGUUCGAACUUUGAAUCGCCAAGCUAAUGCCUCCGUGGCCACCUGAAAAGCAUAACAUUUCCUGCUUUUGCGUCCAAAUACAUGCUAGUUUUCAACUUUCAAGUCCAUGUACAUUCGUCAAUAAUUCCACUACAGUCCGAGCUGUCUCAUUGCCAUGAAUAAACAGAGGCCAAUGAAUCGUUUUUUGUCUAAAUCCAAUCUCGCUCUUCAUUUAUCUUAGCUUAAAACUAAUCAUGUACACGUCAUACCUUUGCCAAUGACAUUUUAGCCAUUUAACAGCCAACUAUACACCUUAGCUUAUUAUACAGUCACAUUAAUUGUCUAAUUAUGCACUGCAAGACAACCAAAUCAAAUACCAACCUCUAGCCGGAAAACACACGGUACAGAUGUCGCCGGCUCCUGGAUUACAAGCACCGCUGCUACCGAACAGCAAGACGGAGAAGCGGCCAUGGGUAUCUGGUGCCGUAUUCAAUGUUGCAACUAGUAUUAUUGGAGCUGGGAUUAUGUCAAUUGCGGCCACCGUUAAAGUCCUGGGCGUAAUACCAGCUUUUGUGCUGAUUGUGAUCAUUGCCUGGCUAACUGACGUCUCCGUGGAAAUUCUGAUGAGAUAUACACAUGCCGGUGAGACGUCAACGUAUGCUGGUGUCAUGAGAGAGUCAUUUGGACGUGCAGGAUCAGUUGCAGCUCAACUCUGUGUCAUGAUCACUAACCUUGGAUGCUUGAUCAUAUUUUUUAUUAUUAUUGGUAAGUCUUCGAUUCUUUGUUUUGAAGGUGGAGGAUGGAUGAUUGAUAAAUGGCAGAUCUUGGUUAAUUCUUUUGGUUGAUGAUCAGGUGAUGUUCUGUGUUGCAAGUAGCCCGAAGGAUCAGUUCAUUUGGGUGUUUUACAAGAAUGGUGCGGCUUUCAUUGGUGGAAUACGCGAGUUAUCGCUCUGCUAUUCGUUAUGGUGUUUGUGAUGCUUCCAUUAGCCUUAUUCGGGCUUGUUGGUUAGUACCUUUGAUGAAAUGAAGCCUUCAAAAUGAUGCUAUAUUUGAUAAUUCUGCCUUGAAUGUUUGAACUUCUUGGUGACUUUGUUGCAUUUGCCUUAUUUCCAGACUCAUUGCGUUUUCAGUUCUGCAAUUUCUGUGCUACUGGCUGUGAUGUUUGUUGCUAUAUGCUCAGUCAUGGCAAUAUAUGCAGUCGGGGAGGGCAAAUCGAAAUCCCCAAAACUACUACCACAGUUGGACAACCAUGUGUCACUUUUUGAUCUUUUCCCUGCUGUCCCAGUUAUUGUUACAGCUUUCACUUUUUAUUUUAAUGGUGAGAACAUUUCGUACAAGUUACUCAGAAUUUCAUCAUUCUGUUGUGUAUUCUAAAAUUGGCGGCGUGUCUUUUUUUUUUUUUUUUUUCUACAAUUCAUCCGAUAGGUUGUGAGCUUGACAAGCCUUCUGACAUGAUCACAGCAGUAAGAAUUUCAUUAGUACUAUGUACCGCCAUCUACUUUUCCGUAGGCCUGUUUGGGUACGUUCUGUUUGGGGAGUCAAUCAUGUCUGACAUCCUUGUAAAUUUCGAUCAAAGUUCUGGUUCAGCAAUUAGUUCAUUACCUCAAUGAACUUGUUUGGUUAAGCUAUGCACUUCACCUCAUGCUUGUGUUCCCUAUGUUGAACUUUUCUCCGAGGGCUAACAUCGAUGAGCUGCUUUUCUCCCAGAAACCUCUUCUGGCAAAAGACACCAAAAGAUUUUUGUCCAUCACCCUUGUCACAAGGCCCUUGUGCUUCUAGUAUUCUCUUACACAGCAGCCAUAAUGAUCCCGGACAUAUGGUACUUCUUUCAGUUCCUAGGAUCGACUUCUGCUGUCUGUCUCGCUUUCAUUUUCCCAGGUGUCAUUGUUCUCAGGUACUUCCUUUUUCAUAUCAGGCAAUCAGGCAUGUCCUUUCUCACCAAUGGCUUACCGAUGUUUGUGCCCAAUCUCAAUCUAAUUCCUUCCGUUGUUUCUAUUUCUAACUUGCAGGGAUGUUCACGGCAUAUCAACAACAGGGGAUAGGAUCAUCGCAACAGUGAUGAUGGUUCUAGCUGUAGUCACUAGCACAAUAGCAAUUUCCACAAAUAUAUAUGGUUCGAUUAGUAACAAAUCCUAGUUUUUUCCUGAUUUGUACUCUUUUGUAGCAAAUGUGAUAUAUAUAUAUAUUUUUUUUUCCCUUCUUUUUGUAUUCUUUUUCUUGGGAAUCCGAUGUUGUUUUGGUCACAUGUAGAAUUGAUAUUUGAUAAAUGUAGUUUAUCAAACACAUUAAGGGAGUUAAAGAGUGCAAUUUCAUGCUAUAUAUAAUAGCAAAUGAUCCUGCCUCUCUUCUUUUGCUUCUGAAUGAAACCUAUAAAUGAUGCUUCAUGAAUUGAUAACUUCUCAAAGAGGAUAUUAAAUGAAUGGUCUCAUAUGAGACCUUACUGAAAAUUUUACUUGAAAUGAACAGUGUUAGACAUACAUAGGCACCAAUACAAGACAUUUUCACUGUGGAUUACUAGUAAUGCCGGAUGAAAGCAUAGUCAAUGCCCGGAUAAACAUAAACCCUGAAAUCUUCCUUACCUUUCCAAGAGCUCCAAGUGAAGUUAUGACUCACCUGCUUAAUCAAGUUACCAGUUUAAUUUUGUGCUUCUAUAUGGUAUUAACAUUCUUUUAAUGGAGCAUGAAUGUUCUGAAGACUAUGUACCUCAGCAAUCACAGUUUCUCCUCUGAAAACUUUAUAGGACUAGCGAGAAGAGUGACAAACCAACGAAUCUGAAAGUCAGAAAUUCCUCAUUAAAAUCACUUGGAAGGUACACUUCCAUCCCAGUUUUUGCUUGAAGAGGAGAAUGAUUUGCUUUCUGCUGAAUAGAAUAUCCCUUGGCUCCCAGCUUUCUCCUCGACGAACCGUCCACUAUUGAGAUUUUAUGUAUUACUUGUACAUUAAACAAUAAAUGAGCAGAUGCUUCACUUUAUGGUAUCGAAUAAAAACAUGUAUACUUUCAUUUUCAAUUUUUUGUAUUUUGUUCUUGUCUUGGUGUCUAUAAUUUCAUAGCAAUUCAACUUACUUUCGGGUGUGUGUGUUUUAUGCCAUUGUAUGCUCAAUUUCCUAGUAAGUCAAUAGAUUUGAGACGUUUCAUUGCAUGCAUUAUGAUUUUAUGUACAUUUGCUGAAUUUAGACUUUUUUGAGGUAACCAGACAAAAGAUGAUAUCUAACUGAUCUGUUUGCUCUGAUUUCAUUCUCAAUGGCAUUUGAUGACUUGCCGAAGUAUGCAUGGUGACCACCAGAAAAGAGAAAAAACAAGAUUAAUCCAAGGCUGAAGCUAUAUGAUCUUGUUGGUGAUCGAUUAGUACCAAUCAGGAUUUCAACUGAUCGCCACCUUUCCGAACCUAAAUAAAGAACACAAAGUAAGCAUCAAAUUAUAUUAAGAAGUUACAAUUAACAAAUUCUAAUGGACAAAUUACUUACCCUGGCUGCUGGUCAGGUUCAAUUCAAUUUUAGCGUGCCACCUUCUUGGUCCACGUUUGAGUAGGACGUUACUUGGAGUUAAAUUUCCAUGAAAAUGACCGCACUCAUGAAGAAAAGCAACGCCUUUGAUUAUAUCCCUACGCAAAACAUUCAAAUUUAGUGCAUGUCAAGAUAUAUUCUUGGGGCAAAAAAAAAAAAAAAAAUGGCAAAACGAGUAUACUUACAAGGCUAUAUCCGUAUAAUCCUGGCUUAACUCCCUGGCCUGCUCAUGAGUCCUGAACACUUCUUUAAAGUUUUCGGCUAUCAUUGUUGUUCUCGGUUCUGACUUAUAUAUAAAAAACAGCUCCAGGCUGAUCAAGCACGGUUCCAUAAACAGUGCAAAUUUCGUCUUGUCAUUGUUCUCAAUUAAUCCAAAGGAGCUCACCACAAAGUCUGAACGGAUAUCUUUCAGAUAUUCAAGUCUUCCAUCCAUGAUAUCUUUCUUCUUAAUCGUCUUUACAACCACAUGUCGGCCAUAAUCAUCCAUACCCCUAUAUCUAGGCUUUUCCUUUGCUGAAACAAAAAUAUAGUUGCCAUCAAUCAGCAUUUACAAUUCCCUGACUGUCCUUUGCUGUUUUAGGCAAUUUAAUAAACACAUUAAUGGCAAUCCAACUCAUUCUGAUUUCGAUUCUUACAGUUCAAGUAAACAACUUAUUUUGAUUCCCAUUCUCCAUUUUCAUUUCAGCUCAUUCCCAUUCCAAUCAAUUCUGAUUCUAGUUUAGUAAAUGCAGCAUAAUACUAUAAGGAGUGUUAAUAUCAUGUAAUGAGGGCUACCAAACAUGCCCUUGAUGUAGGCAGGGACGAAUACUAUUAGGUGGGAAGUCUGGAAACCUUGAGGUAGGAAAUAUGGAAAGCUCAAUUUAAACAUUGAAUGAGUCAAAAGCACCAAGCUGAGGAGGCUAGAAUAUCUAACGAUUAUCACCAGCAAAGAAUCACAGAAGCAUUGCAAAAAUAGGCAAGGAAGUUUGCUACGAAACCACUACACCCGUAACACCUUAGAAAAUAGGUUAAUAACACCCUCUGCGAAAAUCAUGCCUCAUUUUCUUCUCUAUAAAGGUACUUUUAAGGAAAAAUGAAAAAGAAAAUAUGUGGACACUCUACUGAACUAAAACUAUUGAGAUUCAACUCCGAAGGGAAAGAUACUGACUUAAUCAUCAGAGGAGGCACAUUGGCACACCAAAAACCACCAUUUCCAACCCCAUUUUAUUCCACCCACCAAUACAAUACCAAUCCACACGAUAAAUAUAGCUGUUAUUGGGCAACCCAUUAAGAGUUAGAUUUAGGUCAAAGUAUUAAAACCAUUUUACACAAUCCAUUACACUUAAUAUUAAGAGUUUAAUAAAUUUAAUAGCUUAAAUUAAGUAAAUUGACUUUAAAUUUAAUAAUUGUAUAAAGUUAUCACAAAUGAUUCAUUUGGAUAAAAACAUUUUGUUUUCGGGAAAACACAGCAGUUUACUUAAGAUCUCAUAAAAGUAGUCUUAAUUACUAUAUCUAUAUAUAUAUAGUAAAUCAUAACUUACACCAUGAACUUUCGCACGUUCGGAUGGUUCUUUAACAUUGGAUAUCCUCUAACUUUAUCAAAUACUUCAUAUUUUAGGAUGGGAAAAGCCGACGCGCCACUUCUUUGGUUGGAAAAAUCCUUCUCUGCAAGCGAAAAUUGGGACAACGAUCUUGAGAAGAACGGUAGUGAGUCGUGGUGUUGCGUACGAAACGCAACAAGUCAUAACUCGUAACAGGUUGACCUUCACCAGGAUAAUACUCAGUGUCUUUAAAGAAGUUUUUCAUAUCGGUCCCCAUUUUGCUCCACCAAUCAAGACAAGUUAACACACUAUCAGCAAACCCCCUGUUGAAUCCAGGUUCUUCAUUCAAUGUAUCAACGACCUCAAUUAAAAAUUGAAUUGACUUCUCAGGGGACCAGAAUAAAGAAAAAUUUUGACUAUCUGCUGGUCUCGUCCUAGAAAUAUGUGCAUAAACUUAUUAGAAAAUAAAAAACUAUAAUUAAUAUUAAAAAACUAUUAAUUAUAAACUAAAAAGCCAAACCUUACCUUUCAGUUAACAAACUACAGACAACUUGUAUGUAGCCUUUUUUUAGGUCACCAGACAAAAGAUGAUAUCUAACUGAUCUGUUUGCUCUGAUUUCAUUCUCAAUGGCAUUUGAUGACUUGCCGAAGUAUGCAUGGUGACCACCAGAAAAGAGAAAAAACAAGAUUAAUCCAAGGCUGAAGCUAUAUGAUCUUGUUGGUGAUCGAUUAGUACCAGUCAGGAUUUCAACUGAUCGCCACCUUUCCGAACCUAAAUAAAGAACACAAAGUAAGCAUCAAAUUAUAUUAAGAAGUUACAAUUAACAAAUUCUAAUGGACAAAUUACUUACCCUGGCUGCUGGUCAGGUUCAACUAGGGGUGGGCAAAAUAUGAUAUUCAUUUGGUACUUUAUGUACAGAAGCACAUGGUCAUCACGAAUGUUGAUCCUUUGACCCUUUUUUUGACCUCAUAAGAUAUUCACAAUUAAGAUUUAUUUCAUAUUUCCUUGGGUUCUUGUGCUUAAAAUGUCAAUAAGCAUCAAAAUAUAGGUUUCUCUAAAGAUAUGCUGCUGCAAGCGUGCAUAGACAUACAUACUUAUCCAGCGACUUGGAGAUGCAUCCGCAGCUGGAAUGCAGGGUCGGCUUUAGAGUGUUUGGGGCCUUAGGCGAAAUUUUUUUAUGAGGCCUCUAUUUGUUUUGCAAUUUUAAUACUCAAAGAAAUAAAAAAAAAAGCUCAAAAUUUAUUUCAUUUGUAAUUCUUGAAUUUUAAAAAUAAAACCUAAAAAAAAGUUAAGAAGAUAUUUUUUUAUUCCAUUAAAACUAUUACCAAAUAAACAAUCAAAUAAAUAUGAAUAAUAUUAUUUUCAAAUAGGAUAUUUCGAAUGAUAGAACAUAAAAAGUUGAGGAUGAUGAAUUAAUGAUCAGAUAAUAGAAAUGGACUUUGUAUUUCUAUAAAUUGAUUUUUUUUAAAUGAACCAAUGAAUAUAAUAUUUUCCUUUCUAGAGAAGUGAGGAAGAAAUUUUUUCAUUUACUGAUUUUUGAGAUUACAAAUUUUUUAAUGGAAAUUAAAAGAAAUACUAAAAGUCAAAUAUUCUAACAUUAAAUAAUUAAUUUUUUUGAGGAAAUUGAAAAGAUAACUAAUUUAAUUUUUUUUGAAAAGACUAAUAAUAAUGAAUUAAUGAUUAAAUAAUAUUAUUAGUUAUAUCUAUUUAACAUUAAUGUUAUCAAAUAUAGAUUUUUCAUAAAAAAUAAUUCUUAACUAUAUGAUAAUUAAUAAUUAGAGAGAUGUUAAUAAACUUUUUGAUUUCCUAAAAUACGUAAUUUAAAAAAAAAAUGAGAAUUAUUAAAAAAAUUCAAAAAAUGAGACCUUCACAAAAUAUGGGGCCUUUGGCGACAGCCUUGUUCGCCUAUACCUAAAGCCACCCCUGCUGGAAUGUACAAACUACUUUUCAGCACUCUUCAUGGGAGAACAUCAACUGUGUCCCAAUGUGCCCUUCCUAUAUGUAUAAGCCAACUCCUUGGUGAUUUAUGUUAUCGAACCUCUCAGAAUUGUUACUACUCUAUUUUUGUUCUUGAACUCAUUGAAUUUCAUAAUGCAAAUCUUUUUCUUUGGUUUAAUUUUUUUCAACCAGUGUAAUCAAAGUCUGCAUUUUCUCAUUUGGUUUCAGGCCUGUUUAUUAUGGAUAGCUACAGCGUUCCAUUUAGGACGCCGCCAGGCACAACUAGCAAAGCUUUUGGUGAACCCCACUGCUUGAAAAAAAAAAAAAAAAAAAAAAAUUCAGAUGAUUAUUUUUUUUGGUUUUUUUUGGGGUACUUUAGCCGUGAAACCACGGACAUGGACUGGUUCUAUGUAGAUCUUCUCCUCUUUGCGGAUUUUUUUAUGGAACUUGCUGCACAUCAUCAUCCUUAAUCUCCAUUAAGGUCUGCUAUAAAUUUACAUUUCAUUGCAUCACUUAUAAUCUUUUUGGUUUCAUGAGUUGCUUGAUACAUGAGCUGAUGUGCCUUUACAACUUUGAUGCUGGCUUGUGAAUUGAUCGUGAGUACCAACUCUCUGAACUUGAUUGCUUUUGCCCUUAGAAAAGCUGAUUCUGAUCCACGAAGUGGGGCUGAUGGGCAGACUGCACCUGCAGCCAAAGUACCUUCUCCUAGGUCAGCUACUUCAAUAGUGAAGCCUCACCUAUGGGUCAUCCUAGAUGGACUUCGGCUUAUAUUCUCCUCAAAUUGUCUGUUGUCUGUGUCUUUAUUCCUUUGGCUGAGUGCAGUUGUCUCGUUAUUUUCUUAUUUUCAGGUAAAGCAGCCUCUAUUCCUUAACAUGUUUUACCAACCUCUUGCAUGUAUUGAUUUUAUACUAUAUUUCAAACUCAGUGGUGCGCACUCCUUUCCUCAAUUUCAGAAAGUCACUGUUAUUACCAUGACUGUUUCUAGCUCUCUUGGAAGAAGAAGAUUGCUUGCCGAGAUAAAUAGCUUUAUUGCUGUUUUUAUCCUUGCUGGACAACUCAGUUUAACGGUAUGCUGACUGUAGAUUAGGUUUUGCAAUGUUUUUUUAUUUGAUGUUUUACUUGCUUCUUACUAUGACUUUCCUCUUGAAUACCUGGUUUUCUGGGUUUUUAGUGUUAAGUUUUUCAAUGUAGAGUCUAUGAAUUCAAUAAGUGUCACAUUUCUCUUCCUAUUAGCGUGUGGUUGGGAGUAAACACUAGUGUGGAAUGCUGCUUGAUAAGGUUGUUUCUAAGUCUGUGAAUAGACGAUGAUGGUCAAACUGUACAUAUUUAGUAGAAUCAUAUGUAUUAUAAUGAGUCAUGCCAAAGAAAAAUGUAUAAUCAUGAGAAUAUUUCAGAGGGAAAACUCCAUCACCCACAUUAGAUGCCAUUAGUGUAACUGUGCAAGUUUUUGAUAACUUACCGUAUUCCUAUUUUGACUCUGGAGAUGCGUUAUUUAAAUUAUCUGAACUGGAUCUCUGGUUCCCCUCCUUGUUUCCUCUCCAUGCAACCCGUAACCUCUUGAAGUUGUACUGGAUCAUUCAAAUUGAAUUUCCUGCACUUGAGCUUCUGUGAACUAUGUCAUAGGUUUUCUUAGAAUUAUCAUGAUAUGGUGAUCCUAGCCUUUUUCUUUUUUUCCAUUUUCGCUUAUCUAAUUAUGUACAGGGGCACAUCCUUUCUGUUGGUGGGAUUACUGUAGCCAUAUGCUCUGCUCCAUUUAUUGCCUUCUCAAAUAUGAUUGCUGAUGCAAUUUGGCCAACUUGGGUGACUGUCGCUUUUUCAGAGACAAUACGAAAGGUUUGUCACGAGCUAUUGUUUUUUAUUUUCUUUUUAUUACCCUCCAAUACUGUUGGACUCGUCUAUUGGUUAUAAACUCAAUUUCCAGUAUUACAGUCUACAGAACCAUAUACAGUGUGCUUAUGAAGUAAGACCGUUAAAGGAAGGUUAUUCUAAAAUUCUAAAGUUGAGAAAAUCUCACAGUUGGGAGACUUCCAUUCCUUGCAGGUGGUUACUUAUGUUGUAAACAGGCCUGGAAGAGAACUACUAUUUACUGUUGUUUCCCAAGAGGAAAAAUACAAAGCUAAGGUGUGCUAAUUUUCUCUAUUACUGAGUUUUAUUCUUAGAAAUGAGGCAAUGUGAUAUUCAUUUGGUACUUUAUGUACAGAAGCACAUGGUCAUCACGAAUGUUGAUCCUUUGACCCUUUUUUUGACCUCAUAAGAUAUUCACAAUUAAGAUUUAUUUCAUAUUUCCUUGGGUUCUUGUGCUUAAAAUGUCAAUAAGCAUCAAAAUAUAGGUUUCUCUAAAGAUAUGCUGCUGCAGGCGUGCAUAGACAUACAUACUUAUCCAGCGACUUGGAGAUGCAUCCGCAGCUGGAAUGUACAAACUACUUUUCAGCACUCUUCAUGGGAGAACAUCAACUGUGUCCCAAUGUGCCCUUCCUAUAUGUAUAAGCCAACUCCUUGGUGAUUUAUGUUAUCGAACCUCUCAGAAUUGUUACUACUCUAUUUUUGUUCUUGAACUCAUUGAAUUUCAUAAUGCAAAUCUUUUUCUUUGGUUUAAUUUUUUUCAACCAGUGUAAUCAAAGUCUGCAUUUUCUCAUUUGGUUUCAGGCCUGUUUAUUAUGGAUAGCUACAGCGUUCCAUUUAGGACGCCGCCAGGCACAACUAGCAAAGCUUUUGGUGAACCCCACUUCUUGAAAAAAAAAAAAAAAAUUCAGAUGAUUAUUUUUUUUGGUUUUUUUUUGGGGUACUUUAGCCGUGAAAUAUAGGCUGCAAAUAUGUAUAUUUUCCAGUUCAACGGCGGUAAUAAUUUGUUUUUUUCCAUGUAUCUACCAUGACUUGAAUUAGUACCCCAGCCACACCUACACCCAAAAUUAGGUGGAAUCCUCAUUUGGUUCUAUUUCCAUAACAAAGAGACUAAUUAGGCUUUAAUACAGAAUAAUACCCAAACAAGUAUUUGUAUAUACCAUCCCUAGACAAGUAUUCCAGAAGCCUUUUUUGUUUUUCCCCUCCCCUUCCAAUGGGAUAAAAACAAAAGCUUAUGUGUAUAUGCGAAAUCUUUGGAAAACUCAAGGAUGACAUGUCGAAUGUAUUCUAAAGAUGUCAAACUGGCAUGUGUUUCACGGAUAUCAGCAAUUGAAACUGAUUUCAUCGAAAUGUUGCUCGGAAUUGCAAUUGUUUCAUUGAUCAUACUGGAGUCUUCAUAUUUAUAGGUCUCUGGGCAUUGAGAGAGCAAUUUGAAUGGUUUAAUCAGCUUUCACCCACUUGGACGAGUCAUGUUAAUUGGUUUAGACUUCAUUAAAGUGCUAGAUAAUACUUUUUUAUUUAUCAGUGUUUUUUUCCUCACUCAAUUAAAAAAUAUAUAUGUAUUGUAGUGAGAGCCUACACGAUAUAAUUUGAGUGUGUUGCUCUAGUUAUUACCACUAUUUGUAAAAUAUUUGCUUUAAUACAUAUCUUUAUCAUCUCUUAAUAUCAUUUUAUUUUAUCUUUUAAAAAAAACAUGUGCUGUAUACGUGCCCUCAAUCUCUCAAACUGAAGAUGAGAUACAUCUUCCAAUUAAUGCUCGGGGUGCAGCAAUAGUUUCAAAUAAUAAAAUAUUUAUAUGCAAUUUGGGUUAAAGUUUGCAGGAAAACUGAUGAUAGUAUCGUGACGACUCCAAUGCUCUCACAAAAAUUGAUUAGCGGUAUAAAGCAAUUUCAAACAUAUACUUAAGUCCUAUUUGUGAUUAAUGAUAAAACCUACACUUAGGUCCUAUUUGUGAUUAACGUUAAAAUUCAACAAGUUGCUUAUUUGAUAAAUUUUAUAAAAAUAACUUAUUUCAUAAUUUACUCCAUUUUAACAGCAGCUUUUAAAGUAAUUGGCGGUUACUUUUUAUUAGUAAUAGCAGCUAGGUGUUGCUUUUUAUAAGCAACUUAUUAAAUAGGUCACCGCACUUUUUUAAAGUCCUUAUUAUAACCUUAAUAUUUUAACCAACACACACACACACGCACACUUUUUCAUGAACAUUAAUAUAUAAAUUAUUAGAUAUCAUAUUACCGCCACAACUACUUAUGUUCUAUCCAAUAUCAAUUUAAUGUGAAUUUAAUACAUAUUACUUUUUAUUUUCUUUAGGUUAUGUAUAAGUAUGAAUUUUUUUUCAUAUUUUAUAUAACAGAUUAUGAAGUUCAUUAAAUUUUAUUUUUUUGAGUUUUUUCAUUUUAUGUAGUUUUACACAUUUUAAAAAAAGUAAGUGUAAAUGAUUUAUUAAACAUACUCUAAAAAUAAAAGGCAAUUUAAACUUAUGUUUAUUUUGGUAUUAUAUAAUAAAAUAGUACUUUUCAUAAUAAAAUUUAUUAUACGCCUAUACUCUAUCUUUUCAAAUUCAUAACAACUACAAUAAUACAGUUUACCAAAUACCAACCUGUAUUUUUAAUUAGCAGCUUAUUUCAUCUGCAUAGUAUCAACUAGGGGUGGGCAAAAAAAGCUGAUUAAUUAAAAAUCGAACCGAACCAAUCGGUUCGGUUUUUGUGCGAUUUUUUAAUCUUAAAAAAACCGAAAUGGUAAUAUAAAAAAAAAAAAAUAGUAAAAACCAAUCGGUUCGGUUUUCGGUUUAAAAAAAAAACCGCAAAACCGAACCGAAAUCUCAAAUAAACCGAUUGUUUUUGAAAGCUAAAGCUAAAACCUAAAAACCUAAAAUCUAAAUCUAAACUUCUGACUUCUGUCUUCUCGGUUCCCGACUUCCCGCUGGCCGCUGCUCGUCGUGACUUCUUCUGUUCUCGCUGGCCGUGCGGCAUCUCUCGCUGCAAUUUUUGCAAUCGUGCGGCAUCCCUCGCCGCAAUUUUUGCUUCGGCUAACCUUGUUACUGUCUCAACUGCACUCUUUUCCAGAGUUGAAAUCAUUCUGCUUUUUGGCCUCCGUUGUCUGCACCCAGACCUUUACAAAUUGACCUUAUUGAUUGAUUGCUUUUGCUUGGGAAAUCACAGAGAAGAUGCAACACAUCAGGUGGGAUGCACUUUCCUUCUUGGGCAUAUUAUCGAACACGUCCUAGGCAUGAGAAUUAUACCAUAAUUCCUCAACAAUAUCUCUCUUGAACCUGGCCUGCAAAUUCCAUAUAAUCAUUCCUUUGUCUAUUUGUUUUGGGAUUGGGACAGAAAGGAAGAGGGUUUCCGCUGCUGCUGGCGGCCAUAUUAUCGAAGGGACCUACGCCGAAUCUGAACCGUUGAUUCGCUUGUUGGACUUGAUUAGGACCCACAAUCAUCAUCUAUCAUCCUUGUUCGAGUGUCGGCUUAAAAGCCAGGUACAGGUAGUUUAUAUGUUUAAUAAUUUGGGACCACCAUGUUGUGCUGCCAUGUCAAAUUUUUCUGCAGUUCUCUUUUUCAUUUUUUUUAUAAAUAUAAUCUCGGAUUUUUGUAGAUAGUUUAUGUAAUAAUUUAAUAUAUAUAUUCUUGGUUGGCCAAAAAUGAAUACAAAUGCAAUUAAUGAAUGAAGAAGUUAUUCAUAAAGCAUCAUUUAUUUAUUUGUUCAUUGCGGUUAAGUUGUAUGCGAUCCAUUUGGUUGUUGGUUACAACCAGUUAAAUAUUAUUUAAAAAUAAAAUAUAACAUGUUAAUUAAGAUGAAUGUUGUAAUAUGAAGUCUCUUUAAUUUUGUAAAAUGUGCGUGGUUAUUCAAUAAUUUUGUAAAAUGGUAGAUUUAUUAAUUUAAGCUUUUAAAUUUAAAAAAAGCCCAAAAUAAGCCCAAUAGGCCCAUAAUCGAAAUAAUCGAACCGAAUCGAAUCGAAUUAUUUCAAUUAAUCGAGUAUUUGAUUAUUUCGGUAAUUUGAUUAAUCGCGAUUAUGAUUUUAAAAUAAUCGUAAUCGAACGAUUAUGAAAAAUUUAGUAAAAAAUCGAACCGAACCGAACCGCGCCCACCCCUUGUGUCAACCACCGUAAUCCCAAACUGUCCUUAAUUUAUCAUUUGUAAUUCCAAACAAAAUUAUUUUACCUCUUUUUCUAUUGUUUGAGGCGGAAAUUUCACCAAGCCAUGUGUCACAAGAAUGGGCUCCUUCUAUAAUUGUGAUUAAAUAGAAAUUCGGACUACAUGGUCUGCGAUCCGCCUUAUUCCGUUGUGCAGUUCGAAGAGUGAUGUCCAAAAGCCUAUUUAGGCGUUGAUAUGGCCCAAAUAUGCUCUUGUUGUGAUUUUGACCUUGGCUUGAGUAGUCACAGAUGCCAUGAUAUUGCACACUAGGAAAGUUCUUAGGAAAGACUGGAGGGGUUACAACGGUCCCACGUAAAACCCAGUCUCCUUAAGCUCUUAUCGCUUUGGUAACAAAACUUUUCUAGACAUGUGCAAUACUGCACGAUUGCUCCAUUCUUGGCCUUCGAAUACUCUUGUUGAGAACAGUGCCGUAUGCGUGAAUAGUAUCGUAUGCGUGAAUAGUAUCGUAUACGUGAACAGUGUCGUACUCGUGAAUGGUGUCAUAUGUCUAAACAAUAACUUUACUCAAAUAAUUACACUCAAUGGCUCUGGUAAUACGUUUAUGGAUUAACGAGCAAAGUAGAUGCACAACUGAAAUGAAAAAUGAGAAGUAAACAUUACACAAGAGACAUAAGGAUUUACGUGGUUCGACUUUUGAGCUUACGUCCACGAGAGAAGAUGAGAAGAAGUAUUUUACUAAUUGUAUAGAGUUACAAGUAUUGUUGUAUUUAACUCACAAUCUAAAACCCUAAUACACCCAAACUCUCAAAAUACUCUCUCAAUUGAUGCUUCUUCCACACUACACUUGAUGAUUUCUCCAUGCCUUAAUCCACUUAUUUAUAGUGCAAAACCAAGCCUUAAAUGUCUAUUUUGGUUGGCUUUAAAAUAUUAAUUUAUUUUAUUUCAUCAAAAUUGGUGUGCAUUAAAAUAAUAGUUUAUUUAUAAAAAUCAACAUAUUAUUUUGUUUAAUCAAAAUUGGUGGGCUUUAAAAUAAUAAUUUAUUUAUAAAAAUCAAGUUAUUAUUUUAAUAAAAUAAUUUGUUUUGUCAAAAUUGGUUAGUGAUAUUUAUUGCUAUCAUUUUACUGUAUUUAGACUGCAAUAACAGAUGUUUCUGCUGAAUAUCUCGAACAAUUAGUUUGACUUAACUCCACAUUUUCUUCGCAAAUUUCUUAUUGGUCAAUGUCUGACACGAACUAUAAGAAGCAUGUAACAUAUCUCGUGCCUGAGCCUUAUGAGCUGAAUUGGGUUAUUGGGCCUAAUAUCGAUUUUCAGGUAGUAAUAACUAUUAACCUCAAACGCAGACCAAAAUGCUAGUGCUUCUGUGACAUUGCCUUUUAACAUAUGUUUGUUUGCUGAUAUUUCAUUGAUGAUACUCCUUUGGGAUUAAUAUAGGAGUAAGCAUGCUGAAAUAGGUGUCUAUUACAUUGAAAUGGAGCAAUUUGAACGGCUAUAUCAUCAACAUUCGCCAAUUUGACAACUCAAUUGGUUUAGGUCCAUUAAAAUUAAUUACUAAAACUAUGCGCUUCUUUUUGUUAUUUUUAUUAUCAUCAUCAUCAAUUUUACUUUUGACGCAAAAUUUUCGUGUCUCAUUUAUUAUUAGUUUGUUGUGUCUCGGAGAUAAACAGAAAGACGUGUUAAAACUGCAAAUGGCAUUUUGGAGUUGAACAGACACGAGAUAAAUUCCAAGGUUCAGGCAACGGGGGAUGUACAGAGUCUACAGACAACGAACACGAAAGUGAAAUCGAUAUCAAGCAAAGUUCCAUCAGAUCGAGUAAAAUUGAAGCUAAAAUUCAUGGUUUGUUUAAGAUUUGACCUAAAAGAGAUGACUAUUUAAUUGAUACAACUGGAUAUUGAUAAAGCGUUGAAUGCUAGUUUUCAAAUCUAUGAUUAGUAUGAGGCAGCGGCUACCUUGGAUCAGCUCUAAGGUAGACCACCCACCACAGCCAUUGGAUGCAUGUACUUGAACUUGAAACAAUUGUGACUGAGUGCAUCCAAUGAGUGUGGUGGAUGGUCUACCUUGGAGCUAAUCCAAAGGUAGCCAAACCCUUAGUAUUAUUAUAUACUGCUCCUUAUGCUUAUAUUAAUCACAUAAGAUGUUGUGUCAAUUCAAAUACCAUUUUUGUAUCUUAAAUAUUGUAAGAGUAGCAUUUUUAUUUUUUAUCUAAAAUUUUAAAUAGGUAUGUUUGAAUAUAUUUGUCUUUCGUUCUUUACAUUUGUUUAUUUUUAAGGGAAAAGUACACUUUCAAUCUUUAAGGUUUGGGAAAAUAAUCAUUGUAAAUUUUCAAAGUUUCAACAGGAGAUACUCGGACUCCUUGUUAACUACAAUACCUUUUGACUUUAUUAACUAAAAAUAAUAACUAAUGUUUAUAAUAAAUAGAAAAUAGUAUCAAAAUAAAUGUAAUAAUAUAUACAUUUUAAAAUAAUUUCAAUAUUUAAAAAUAUUUUAAUACCAUACAAUCUUAUGUUAUUAAACUAAAUUAGGUAGUAAAUAGAAACAUAGUAUUAAAAUAAAUAUAAAAGUUUAAGUUAUUUUAAUAUUAUAUAAAAUAAUUUUAAUAAUGUUAAUGCAUGAGAUACAUUUUAUUAAUUAUAAAAUCUAUUUAACAUGAAGAUUGAUUUAAAAUUUUUAUAAAAGUGAGUAUCCUAAUACAUCCAUAUGAUCUAUCUAAAUCUGGCAUGCCCAAGAUUUUUUUAUCUUGCAGCCUCCAUAACACAAUAAAAAUAUCAUUUAGCAGAUACAUAUUUUUUAAAAAAGGAAAAAUAGCAUUAUUCUCUCCUGCAGGCAUCUGCAAUUUAUUAAAUCUCAAAUUAUAUGCAAAAGUUUGCUAAUAUGCAUAUGACUAGAGUUGAUGACUCCAAAGUCUAAAUCAAAACAGACAUGGACAAUAAUGCUCAUCUUAUGAUGAGCAAUAUUGUGCUGUGGCGUUGACUAGUCAGGGUUCGGUUAGAAAAUGUGAUUAACUUCAACACUAGUUACAAAAUUGAGCUAAAGCUCAGUUGCUCGUCAAUAGAGUGACUGAAGUUGCCAACCAGCUAUGAAUACAUAAAUGAGAAAUAUUAAACAGAACAAGCGAUGAAGAGAGGUCUGAGUUGUAUGUCCGGGGAGUCUGUUCUCUGAACGAAGCAUCAUAUCCAGGCAGAACGCAGUUUUCAUACCCUCCAAAUCUUCUUGGCUUUUCAUAUCAUGCCCCCGUUCUGUUGGUGGCGCGCUAACAAAAGAAUAAACAAGUAUCAAUAUAUAGGCUUUAAUUUGAAUUGUAAAUCGGUGUAAAAAUCAAUUAUGAUUUUCAUUGUCUUAUGAUAGUGAAAUUGUAGUAUUACAGUCCUGUUCCAGUAAUAUAUAUAAAGCAGAAAUUACAGAGAAAAAGAUCUCAAACAUUGUGUAAUUUAUGAUCGCCGUAGUCCUCAGAUUUAUAGCAGGUAUCAUGUUCANUCACUUAUAAUCUUUUUGGUUUCAUGAGUUGCUUGAUACAUGAGCUGAUGUGCCUUUACAACUUUGAUGCUGGCUUGUGAAUUGAUCGUGAGUACCAACUCUCUGAACUUGGUUGCUUUUGCCCUUAGAAAAGCUGAUUCUGAUCCACGAAGUGGGGCUGAUGGGCAGACUGCACCUGCAGCCAAAGUACCUUCUCCUAGGUCAGCUACUUCAAUAGUGAAGCCUCACCUAUGGGUCAUCCUAGAUGGACUUCGGCUUAUAUUCUCCUCAAAUUGUCUGUUGUCUGUGUCUUCCCUUUGGCUGAGUGCAGUUGUCUCGUUAUUUUCUUAUUUUCAGUUAAAGCAGCCUCUAUUCCUUAUGUUUACCAACCUCUUGCAUGUAUUGAUUUUAUACUAUAUUUCAAACUCAGUGGCGCGCACUCCUUUCCUCAAUUUCAGAAAGUCACUGCUAUUGCCAUGACUGUUUCUAGCUCUCUUGGAAGAAGAAGAUUGCUUGCCGAGAUAAAUAGCUUUAUUGCUGUUUUUAUCCUUGCUGGACAACUCAGUUUAACGGUAUGCUGACUGUAGAUUAGGUUUUGCAAUGUUUUUUUAUUUGAUGUUUUACUUGCUUCUUACUAUGACUUUCCUCUUGAAUACCUGGUUUUCUGGGUUUUUAGUGUUAAGUUUUUCAAUGUAGAGUCUAUGAAUUCAAUAAGUGUCACAUUUCUCUUCCUAUUAGCGUGUGGUUGGGAGUAAACACUAGUGUGGAAUGCUGCUUGAUAAGGUUGUUUCUAAGUCUGUGAAUAGACGAUGAUGGUCAAACUGUACAUAUUUAGUAGAAUCAUAUGUAUUAUAAUGAGUCAUGCCAAAGAAAAAUGUAUAAUCAUGAGAAUAUUUCAGAGGGAAAACUCCAUCACCCACAUUAGAUGCCAUUAGUGUAACUGUGCAAGUUUUUGAUAACUUACCGUAUUCCUAUUUUGGCUCUGGAGAUGCGUUAUUUAAAUUAUCUGAACUGGAUCUCUGGUUCCCCUCCUUGUUUCCUCUCCAUGCAACCCGUAACCUCUUGAAGUUGUACUGGAUCAUUCAAAUUGAAUUUCCUGCACUUGAGCUUCUGUGAACUGUCAUAGGUUUUCUUAGAAUUAUCAUGAUAUGGUGAUCCUAGCCUUUUUCUUUUUUUCCAUUUUCGCUUAUCUAAUUAUGUACAGGGGCACAUCCUUUCUGUUGGUGGGAUUACUGUAGCCAUAUGCUCUGCUCCAUUUAUUGCCUUCUCAAAUAUGAUUGCUGUUGCAAUUUGGCCAACUUGGGUGACUGUCGCUUUUUCAGAGACCAUACGAAAGGUUUGUCACGAGCUAUUGUUUUUUUAUUUUCUUUUUAUUACCCUCCAAUACUGUUGGACUCGUCUAUUGGUUAUAAACUCAAUUUCCAGUAUUACAGUCUACAGAACCAUAUUCAGUGUGCUUAUGAAGUAAGACCGUUAAAGGAAGGUUAUUCUAAAUUCUAAAGUUGAGAAAAUCUCACAGUUGGGAGACUUCCAUUCCUUGCAGGUGGUUACUUAUGUUUGUAAACAGGCCUGGAAGAGAACUACUAUUUACUGUUGUUUCCCAAGAGGAAAAAUACAAAGCUAAGGUGUUGCUAAUUUUCUCUAUUACUGAGUUUUAUUCUUAGAAAUGAAGAGGCAAUGUGAUAUUCAUUUGGUACUUUAUGUACAGAAGCACAUGGUCAUCCACGAAUGUUGAUCCUUUGACCCUUUUUUUUGACCUCAUAAGAUAUUCACAAUUAAGAUUUAUUUCAUAUUCCUUGGGUUCUUGUGCUUAAAAUGUCAAUAAGCAUCAAAAUAUAGGUUUCUCUAAAGAUAUGCUGCUGCAGGCGUGCAUAGACAUACUUAUCCAGCGACUUGGAGAUGCAUCCGCAGCUGGAAUGUACAAACUACUUUCAGCACUCUAUCAUGGGAGAACAUCAACUGUGUCCCAAUGUGCCCUUCCUAUAUGUAUAAGCCAACUCCUUGGUGAUUUAUGUUAUCGAACCUCUCAGAAUUGUUACUACUACUCCAUUUUUUGUUCUUGAACUCAUUGAAAUUUCAUAAUGCAAAAUCUUUUUCUUUGGUUUAAUUUUUUCAACCAGUGUAAUCAAAGUCUGCAUUUUCUCAUUUGGUUUCAGGUCUGUUUAUUAUGGAUAGCUACAGCGUUCCAUUUAGGACGCCGCCAGGCACAACUAGCAAAGCUUUUGGUGAACCCCACUUCUUGAAAAAAAAUAAAAAAAUUUCAGAUGAUUAUUUUUUUUGGUUUUUUUUUGAGGGGUACAUUUUAGCCGUGAAAUAUAGGCUGCAAUAUGUAUAUUUUCCAGUUCAACGGCGGUAUAUAAUUUGUUUUUUUCCAUGUAUCUACCAUGACUUGAAUUAGUCCCCAGCCACACCUACACCAAAAUUAGGUGGAAUCCUCAUUUGGUUCUAUUUCCAUAACAAAAAGACUAAUUAGGCUUUAAUACAGAAUAAUACCCAAACAAGUAUUUGUAUAUACCAUCCCUAGACAAGUAUUCCAGAAGCCUUUUUUGUUUUUCCCCUCCCCUUCCAAUGGGAUAAAACAAAAGCUUAUGUGUAUAUGCGAAAUCUUUGGAAAACUCAAGAUGACAUGUCGAAUGUAUUUCUAAAGAUGUCAAACUGGCAUGUGUUUCACGGAUAUCAGCAAUUGAAACUGAUUUCAUCGAAAUGUUGCUCGGAAUUGCAAUUGUUUCAUUGAUCAUACUGGAGUCUUCAUAUUUAUAGGUCUCUGGGCAUUGAGAGAGCAAUUUGAAUGGUUUAAUCAGCUUUCACCCACUUGGACGAGUCAUGUUAAUUGGUUUAGACUUCAUUAAAGUGCUAGAUAAUACUUUUUUAUUUAUCAGUGUUUUUUUCCUCACUCAAUUAAAAAACAUAUAUAUAUUGUAGUGAGAGCCUACACGAUAUAAUUUGAGUGUGUUGCUCUAGUUAUUACCACUAUUUGUAAAAUAUUUGCUUUAAUACAUAUCUUUAUCAUCUCUUAAUAUCAUUUUAUUUUAUCUUUUAAAAAAACAUGUGCUGUAUACGUGCCCUCAAUCUCUCAAACUGAAGAUGAGAUACAUCUUCCAAUUAAUGCUCGGGGUGCAGCAAUAGUUUCAAAUAAUAAAAUAUUUAUAUGCAAUUUGGGUUAAAGUUUGCAGGAAAACUGAUGAUAGUAUCGUGACGACUCCAAUGCUCUCACAAAAAUUGAUUAGCGGUCUAAAAGCAAUUUCAAACAUAUACCUAAGUCCUAUUUGUGAUUAACGAUAAAACCUAUACUUAGGUCCUAUUUGUGAUUAACGUUAAAAUUCAACAAGUUGCUUAUUUGAUAAAUUUUAUAAAAAAUAGCUUAUUUCAUAAUUUACUCCAUUUUAACAGCAGCUUUUAAAGUAAUUGGCGGUUACUUUUUAUUAGUAAUAGCAGCUAGGUGUUGCUUUUUAUAAGCAACUUAUUAAAUAGGUCACCGCACUUUUUUAAAGUCCUUAUUAUAACCUUAAUAUUUUAACCAACACACACACACACUUUUUCAUGACAUUAAUAUAUAAAUUAUUAGAUAUCAUAUUACCGCCACAACUACUUAUGUUCUAUCCAAUAUCAAUUUAAUGUGAAUUUUAAUACAUAUUACUUUUUAUUUUCUUUAGGUUAUGUAUAAGUAUGAAUUUUUUUUUCAUAUUUUAUGUAACAAUUAUGAAGUUCAUUAAAUUUUAUUUUUUUGAGUUUUUUUCAUUUUAUGUAGUUUUAACAUAUUUUAAAAAAAGUAAGUGUAAAUGAUUUAUUAAACAUACUCUAAAAAUAAAAGGCAAUUUAAACUUAUGUUUAUUUUGGUAUUAUAUAAUAAAAUAGUACUUUUCAUAAUAAAAUUUAUUAUACGCCUAUACUCUAUAUUUUCAAAUUCAUAACAACUACAAUAAUACAGUUUACCAAAUACCAACCUGUAUUUUUAAUUAGCAGCUUAUUUCAUCUGCAUAGUAUCAAGUAUCAACUAGGGGUGGGCAAAAAAAGCUGAUUAAUUAAAAAUCGAACCGAACCAAUCGGUUCGGUUUUUUGUGCAGUUUUUUAAUCUUAAAAAACCGAAAUGGUAAUAUAAAAAAAAAUAAUAAAACCAAUCGGUUCGGUUUUCGGUUUAAAAAAAAACCGCAAAACCGAACCGAAAUCUCAAAUAAACCGAUUGUUUUUGAAAGCUAAAGCUAAAACCUAAAAGCCUAAAAUCUAAAUCUAAACUUCUGACUUCUGUCUUCUCGGUUCCCGACUUCCCGCUGGCCACUGCUCGUCGUGACUUCUUCUGUUCUCGCUGGCCGUGCGGCAUCUCUCGCUGCAAUUUUUGCGAUCGUGCGGCAUCCCUCGCCGCAAUUUUUGCUUCUGCUAACCUUGUUACUGUCUCAACUGCACUCUUUUUCCAGAGUUGAAAUCAUUCUGCUUUUUGGCCUCCGUUGUCUGCACCCAGACCUUUACAAAUUGACCUUAUUGAUUGAUUGCUUUUGCUUGGGAAAUCACAGAGAAGAUGCAACACAUCAGGUGGGAUGCACUUUCCUUCUUGGGCAUAUUAUUGAACACGUCCUAGGCAUGAGAAUUAUACCAUAAUUCCUCAACAAUAUCUCUCUUGAACCUGGCCUGCAAAUUCCAUAUAAUCAUUCCCUUGUCUAUUUUGUUUUGGGAUUGGGACAGAAAGGAAGAGGGUUUCCGCUGCUGCUGGCGGCCAUAUUAUCGAAGGGACCUACGCCGAAUCUGAACUGUUGAUUCGCUUGUUGGACUUGAUUAGGACCCACAAUCAUCAUCUAUCAUCCUUGUUCGAGCGUCGGCUUAAAAGCCAGGUACAGGUAGUUUAUAUGUUUAAUAAUUUGGGACUACCAUGUUUGUGCUGCCAUGUCAAAUUUUUCUGCAGUUCUCUUUUUCAUUUUUUUUAUAAUAUAUAAUCUCGAUUUUUGUAGAUAGUUUAUGUAAUAAUUUAAUAUAUAUAUUCUUGGUUGGCCAAAAUGAAUACAAAUGCAAUUAAUGAAUGAAGAAGUUAUUCAUAAAGCAUCAUUUAUUUAUUUGUUCAUUGCGGUUAAGUUGUAUGCGAUCCAUUUGGUUGUUGGUUACAACCAGUUAAAUAUUUAUUUAAAAAUAAAAUAUAACCUGUUAAUUAAGAUGAAUGUUGUAAUAUGAAGUCUCUUUAAUUUUGUAAAAUGUGUGUGGUUAUUCAAUAAUUUUGUAAAAUGGUAGAUUUAUUAAUUUAAGCUUUUAAAUUUAAAAAAAGCCCAAAAUAAGCCCAAUAGGCCCAUAAUCGAAAUAAUCGAAUCGAAUCGAAUCGAAUUAUUUCAAUUAAUUGAGUAUUUGAUUAUUUCGGUAAUUUGAUUAAUCGCGAUUAUGAUUUUAAAAUAAUCGUAAUCGAACGAUUAUGAAAAAUUUAGUAAAAAAUCGAACCGAACCGAACCGCGCCCACCCCUUGUGUCAACCACCGUAAUCCCAAACUGUCCUUAAUUUAUCAUUUGUAAUUCCAAACAAAAUUAUUUUACCUCUUUUUCUAUUGUUUGAGGCGGAAAUUUUACCAAGCCAUGUGUCACAAGAAUGGGCUCCUUCUAUAAUUGUGAUUAAAUAGAAAUUCGGACUACAUGGUCUGCGAUCCGCCUUAUUCCGUUGUGCAGUUCGAAGAGUGAUGUCCAAAAGCCUAUUUAGGCGUUGAUAUGGCCCAAAUAUGCUCUUGUUGUGAUUUUGACCUUGGCUUGAGUAGUCACAGAUGCCAUGAUAUUGCAUACUAGGAAAGUUCUUAGGAAAGACUGGAGGGGUUACAACGGUCCCACGUAAAACCCAGUCUCCUUAAGCUCUUAUCGCUUUGGUAACAAAACUUUUCUAGACAUGUGCAAUACUGCACGAUUGCUCCAUUCUUGGCCUUCGAAUACUCUUGUUGAGAACAGUGCCGUAUGCGUAAAUAAUAUCGUAUACGUGAACAGUGUCGUACUCGUGAAUGGUGUCAUAUGUCUAAACAAUAACUUUACUUCAAAUAAUUACACUCAAUGGCUCUGGUAAUACGUUUAUGGAUUAACGAGCAAAGUAGAUGCACAACUGAAAUGAAAAAUGAGAAGUAAACAUUACACAAGAGACAUAAGGAUUUACGUGGUUCGACUUUUGAGCUUACGUCCACGAGAGAAGAUGAGAAGAAGUAUUUUACUAAUUGUAUAGAGUUACAAGUAUUGUUGUAUUUAACUCACAAUCUAAAACCCUAAUACACCCAAACUCUCAAAAUACUCUCUCAAUUGAUGCUUCUUCCACACUACACUUGAUGAUUUCUCCAUGCCUUAAUCCACCUAUUUAUAGUGCAAACCAAGCCUUAAAUGUCUAUUUUGGUUGGCUUUAAAAUAUUAAUUUAUUUUAUUUCAUCAAAAUUGGUGUGCAUUAAAAUAAUAGUUUAUUUAUAAAAAUCAACUUAUUAUUUUGUUUAAUCAAAAUUGGUGGGCUUUAAAAUAAUAAUUUAUUUAUAAAAAUCAAGUUAUUAUUUUAAUAAAAUAAUUUGUUUUGUCAAAAUUGGUUAGUGAUAUUUUAUUGCUAUCAUUUUACUGUAUUUAGACUGCAAUAACAGAUGUUUCUGCUGAAUAUCUCGAACAAUUAGUUUGACUUAACUCCACAUUUUCUUCGCAAAUUUCUUAUUGGUCAAUGUCUGACACGAACUAUAAGAAGCAUGUAACAUAUCUCGUGCCUGAGCCUUAUGAGCUGAAUUGGGUUAUUGGGCCUAAUAUCGAUUUUCAGGUAGUAAUAUCUAUUAACCUCAAACGCAGACCAAAAUGCUAGUGCUUCUGUGACAUUGCCUUUUAACAUAUGUUUGUUUGCUGAUAUUUCAUUGAUGAUACUCCUUUGGGAUUAAUAUAGGAGUAAGCAUGCUGAAAUAGGUGUCUAUUACAUUGAAAUGGAGCAAUUUGAACGGCUAUAUCAUCAACAUUCGCCAAUUUGACAACUCAAUUGGUUUAGAGUCCAUUAAAAAUAAUACUAAACUAUGCGCUUCUUUUUGUUAUUUUUAUUAUCAUCAUCAUCAAUUUUACUUUUGACGCAAAAUUUUCGUUCUCUUUAUUAUUAGUUUGUUUGUCUCGGAGAUAAACAGAAAGACGUGUUAAAACUGCAAAUGGCAUUUUGGAGUUGAACAGACACGAGAUAAAUUCCAAGGUUCAGGCAACGGGGGAUGUACAGAGUCUACAGACAACGAACACGAAAGUGAAAUCGAUAUCAAGCAAAGUUCCAUCAGAUCGAGUAAAAUUGAAGCUAAAAUUCAUGGUUUGUUUAAGAUUUGACCUAAAAGAGAUGACUAUUUAAUUGAUACAACUGGAUAUUGAUAAAGCGUUGAAUGCUAGUUUUCAAAUCUAUGAUUAGUAUUAGGCAGCGGCUACCUUGGAUCAGCUCUAAGGUAGACCACCCACCACAGCCAUUGGAUGCAUGUACUUGAACUUGAAACAAUUGUGACUGGGUGCAUCUAAUGAGUGUGGUGGAUGGUCUACCUUGGAGCUAAUCCAAGGUAGCCAAACCCUUAGUAUUAUUAUAUACUGCUCCUUAUGCUUAUAUAAUCACAUAAGAUGUUGUGUCAAUUCAAAUACCAUUUUUGUAUCUUAAUAUUGUAAGAGUAGCAUUUUAUUUUUUAUCUAAAAUUUAAAUAGGUAUGUUUGAAUAUAUUUGUCUUUCGUUCUUUACAUUUGUUUAUUUUUAAGGGAAAAGUACACUUUCAAUCUUAAGGUUUGGGAAAAUAAUCAUGUAAAUUUUCAAAGUUUCAACAGGAGAUACUCGGACUCCUUGUUAACUACAAUACCUUUUGACUUUAUUAACUAAAAAUAAUAACUAAUAUUUUAUAAUAAAUAGAAAAUAGUAUCAAAAUAAAUGUAAUAAUAUAUACAUUUUAAAAUAAUUUCAAUAUUUACAAAAAUAUUUUAAUACCAUACAAUCUUAUGUUAUUAAACUAAAUUAGGUAGUAAAUAGAAACAUAGUAUUAAAAUAAAUAUAUAAAAGUUUAAGUUAUUUUAAUAUUAUAUAAAAUAAUUUUAAUAAUGUUAAUGCAUGAGAUACAUUUUAUUAAUUAUAAAAUCUAUUUAACAUGAAGAUUGAUUUAAAAUUUUUAUAAAAGUGAGUAUCCUAAUACAUCCAUAUGAUCUAUCUAAAUCUGGAAUGCCCAAGAUUUUUUAUCUUGCAGCCUCCAUAACACAAUAAAAAUAUCAUUUAGCAGAUACAUAUUUUUUAAAAAAGGAAAAAAUAGCAUUAUUCUCUCCUGCAGGCAUCUGCAAUUUAUUAAAUCUCAAAUUAUAUGCAAAAGUUUGCUAAUAUGCAUAUGACUAGAGUUGAUGACUCCAAAGUCUAAAUCAAAACAGACAUGGACAAUAAUGCUCAUCUUAUGAUGAGCAAUAUUGUGCUGUGGCGUUGACUAGUCAGGGUUCGGUUAGAAAAUGUGAUUAACUUCAACACUAGUUACAAAAUUGAGCUAAAGCUCAGUUGCUCGUCAAUAGAGUGACUGAAGUUGCCAACCAGCUAUGAAUACAUAAAUGAGAAAUAUUAAACAGAACAAGCGAUGAAGAGAGGUCUGAGUUGUAUGUCCGGGGGAGUCUGUUCUUUGAACGAAGCAUCAUAUCCAGGCAGAACGCAGUUUUCAUACCCUCCAAAUCUUCUUGGCUUUUCAUAUCAUGCCCCCGUUCUGUUGGUGCGCGCUAACAAAAGAAUAAACAAGUAUCAAUAUAUAGGCUUUAAUUUGAAUUGUAAAUCGGUGUAAAAAUCAAUUAUGAUUUUCAUUGUCUUAUGAUAGUGAAAUUGUAGUAUUACAGUCCUGUUCCAGUAAUAUAUAUAAAGCAGAAAUUACAGAAGAAAAAGAUCUCAAACAUUGUGUAAUUUAUGAUCGCCGUAGUCCUCAGAUUUAUAGCAGGUAUCAUGUUCAUUUGUUUUUGGCUCAAUCUAUUGCGGGCAACUAAAUUAACUAGGAAGCAAAUAUGUAACAUUACCAAAUACAAAUUGGGAAAAAAGAAAAAAGGAACAACUCAAGGACAUCUUAUGCCAGUAGAGUUGGCAACAAUACCAGCGGGGCUCCAAACCCGCGGGGCCCCAAUUAAUUUGGGGCAGGUAUGGGGCCUCGAAAAAAGUCUGAAAAUAAAUUCGGGUCUAUUUGGGUAUGGGUCUAAAAUCCCAAAACUUUUCGGGUUCGGGUUUGGGAAUUUUUCCGGAUCCCCUAACCCAACCCUAAAAUAAAAAAAAAUAAAAAAAUCUAAUAUUUUAAACUUUGAAAUUAGAAAUUGUAAUGCCAUCAAAUCAAUUUUUUUCCCCCAAAAGAAACCCUAACAGUUCGUGAGCUGCCGUUGUCGCUAACAGCCAGUCAGCCGCCACCGUUCGUCGUCACUGACCAACACUCAGCCGCAAGGUUUUUGCCUUUUCUACUUUUCUUUCUUUGUUUAUUUAUUUCGAAUUGCAUCUAGUUUCAUUGAUUUGGGUGUCUCUGUGCAUGUGUUUGUUUGUCAGUAAUGAGUCAUUGAGUUGCAUCUGAUUGUCAUUUUCCUAAUUUUAUGAUUGUCAUCAUAAGCUGCAAUUUGUUUGUCACUAACAUUAGCUUUAUUAGUUUGCUUGUGCUAUCAACUGAAACUUUAAGGGUUUAAUUGGUUUAUAGCUUGAGUAGUCAUGAUUUUUUAGUCUGAUUCUAUUUUGCAUAUUAGGGGUGGGCAAAAAAAGUUGAUUAAUCAAAAACCGAAUCGAACCGUUCGGUUCGAUUCGGUUUUUUUACGGUUUUUUUACACCCAAAAAACCGAAUUAGUAAUAUAGAGAAAAUAGUAAAACCAGUCGGUUCAGUUUUCGAUUUUAAAAAAAAAACCAAAAAACCGAACCGAGUAUCAAAUAAACCGAAUAAUAUAAUCCCUAAACCUAAAGUGAGUAAACUGAUCUUCACUUCAGCCACUGAACUCGUGACCUUCAGCCCCUGAACUCGUCGCUGCUGCUGCUCGUGCUCGUCGCUGCUGCUGCUGCCGCUGCUCAUGCUCGUCGCUGCUGCUGCUGCCGCUGCUCAUGCUCGUCGCUGCUGCUGCCGCUGUCGCUGCUCGCUGCUGCUGCUGCCGCUGUCGCUGCAGCCUGCCGCUGCUGCUCGUCGCCGAGUGAUCUCCACAAAGCUACAACUUGUGAGUUUGCUAUUACUUGGAUUUUAAUGGUUUCACAUGAUGAUGUGCUCAUGCCGAGAGUAAAAACAGUAAAACUUGAAACAGAGUUUAACGUUGUUGGACUUGUGAGUGUUUGCUGUUGGAGUAGAUUUAGAUGAGCCAAGUUGGUUAGCUUCAUAGCUUUUCAAUAAUUUGCUUUGAUUAUUGUGUAAUAUAUGAUAAUUUUGUGACGAUGGUGGUUUAUAUAUGUGAUUAAAAGCUAAACUAGUGGAUUUGUAAGUAUGCACUCGGCAAAGCAUUUGAGCAGGUAUUUUCAUCUUUUCGUUAUCACAUUCCUCUAAUCAAUUAGCGUUAAUAAAAAAAAUGAUUAAUAACGUAAAUGGAGGGACUUGUGCUCAAAUCUCUAAAUUAAACUCGUGAUCAUUAAACAUUAAUAUAAGCAAACUACAAGUAGUCUAUCUUGAUCAACGUUUUCAACUCUUCCAGGACUGUCCCACUUCCAAAAUUUUUUAUUCAAACAAUUAUUGAAAGCUCAUUUUUAUAUAAUAUUUUCACAAGAAAUUUGUUGCUUUCAUAAAUGGGCAACAUUAGACAACAGCAAUGCCAAAAUUAUUGGAAAAAAAGUUUUAGUCACGGCCCUCUGCUAAGUGUCUUUAAAUGGUUGGUUAAUCCCCAAGAUUUUUUAUUUGUUGCUGCUAUUGUGUUGAUUUGUUGCUGCUGUGGUGCUGAUUUUUUUGUGUAGAAUGGAAAAUUAUGAUGAGGAAGAAGUGCAAGAGGUGUAGGUUAAUGAUGGGAAAAAAAGAAAAAUACCUUUGAGAUCAAAUGUUUGAACUUGUUAUUUGAAUAUGUUAUGUGUUAUUGAACAUUGUUUGAGACAUAUUUUGAUUUUUUGUUUGUUAAUUUUUUAUGUUUGUUGUAGAUUUAUUAAUUUAAGGUUUUAAAUUUAAAAAAGUCCAAAAUAGGCCCAAUAGGCCCAUAAUCGAAAUAAUCGAACCGAACCGAAUCAAAUUAUUUCAAUUAAUCGAGUAUUUGAUUAUUUCGGUAAUUUGAUUAAUCGCGAUUAUGAUUUUAAAAUAAUCGUAAUCGAACGAUUAUGAAAAAUUUAGUAAAAAACCGAACCGAACCGAACCGCGCCCACCCCUAUUGCAUAUUGCCCGCUUGCUUUUCUUUUAGCUCUUUUAAAAUUAUUCUUUUAGGUAUGUGUUAAAUUUCCAGGGUUUAAUUGCUUGCUUGCAUAUUGCCCGCUUGCUUUUCUUUUCUUUUGGCAGCUACGUGAGGGAACCAAAAUGAUAGACAGGUGACACAAAACAAUUUAUAGAACCCCUUUUUUUUUUGGAGGUUUGGAACACAGAACAGUAAUCAGUAACAGAUAGACAGUAUAUUUCUUUUUCUUGGGUGCUGCUAAGUUACAUUAACUGUAACUUACAGCUCACCCAAUACUAGUUUUUCACAACCCAUGAAUUAUUUGAAUAGCAACCAUUAGAGGUGUAAAGAAACUAGUUUAACACUUAAGAUUUGGGCUUCCAGAAUCAGAUAAAAGGAUAGUUACAAACAUGCCAAAUUGAGGUACUGACAAACUUGGGUAAUAAUAUUUUUUUGCAAGUCAACAUGUGAAUGUGAUGAUGACUAGACUUGACUGUGUCCAUAGCCAACGGCACAAUUAUAUGUGAAAGUGAAAGCAAAAAGUAGACACAAAAACUGAAAAUGGAUGGCAACCUGCAUCGAAGAGAAUCCCCACUUUAGGGGCUCCUAUUGUAACUAUAUGGUUAUUCCUUCUUUCUGUCCUGCUGCAUGUAUGUGGCUUGUAGUUGAACUGGUUAGAUACGUGUAUGCUUGGUUUCUGUAGGUAUUAUUUGUGUUGUGCUCUGUAUCACGAAUCGUUCCACCGAUAUGCUUACGUACAUGUUGCGUGAGGAGUUUACGUUGUAUAUUAAUUGAGUCUUCUCUUGGCAUUGCAACCUAUAGAAUUGUUAAAUAUGUGUCCAUCCAUUUUAGUUUCUCAAGCUACCCUGAGUGUUGUGGGAACAAUUUGUUCAUUGUUAUCAUUGCUGUGGCUGAUGCCAAAUACUAUCCAUAAUUGAUGUUCACAUGUUGGGUUUCCAGGUGUCGUCGUCAGUGAGAAAAACCGAAAAAAAAUGGUAAUUCUAGUUACAUUGCUUUAUGUCAAGUAGGUCCAUGAUUCAUCACAUUCAAAAAUUAUAGAAAACUAUUAUCAUAUGACAUUAACAAAACACUGGAAAUAUUAGGGUGGUAGUGUCAGGAAGCCAUUUUUCAUUUAUCUGCUUUGGUUUUAAAUCCAGUACAUGGUAAAAUCAGAUUUAAUGUUUUGUAUCUGCCUAAUUCUUAAUUGUUUGCUUCUAGUAAAAUGCUAGUUUUAUAUUCGUUUUUAAAUUUUGCUUCUUGGCUUGAUUGUAGGUUCAACAUUUAAUAUGUCAAGUUCUUUGCCCACACCACACUUAAUGGAUGAUGAAGUCAAUCAAAACAUGUCCAGUUCUGUUUCAAUCUCUUGAUGAGGAGCCAGAGAUUGAAACAAAUGUAGAGGCUGUAGAGGUAUAUAGUUUUAGUUUAUAUUAUCUUGUCAAGUAUUUAUUAAGUUGAAUUGUUAAAACAUGUUUUUAUUAAUUUUUUUUUUUGUUUAUGUUGUUAUAGGUUUAUGAAGAAUCUUAGAAUGUGCAUCAAUGGUGAUGGCUACAAGUUUAUGUUGAAGACUUAAAAUUAUUUUGAUUUGUUGUAUAAAAUUUAAUCAAUUGUAAUUAUGUUGAAGGCUUAAACUUAUUAUGGAGGUUGUAAUUUUAUUUCUAAUCACUUGUAAUUUUAUUAUGGAGGUUGUAAUCACUUCUAAUUUUAUUUCUAAUAUGGAAUUUGAUUAUUUGUAAUUUUAUUUCUAAAUAUGGAGGUUGUUAGAAUUAUUAUUUAAAAAAAAAAGAAAACUGAAAUAUUUAGAAAUUAUUAUUUAAAAAAUGGGGAUCGGGUCCCUGUUUUAAUCCCCGCUCAAUUCGGGGAUUUUCAGGGAUAUACCCAAACAAUCCCCAUUACAAUUUUUCGGGUAUGGGGCGGGUUCAGGUGGGGAUCAUGUGCCAGUCUGUGUAUGAACAAGCAAACUCUUAUAGUGUAGUGCAGAAAAACAUGAGGUGGCAGAUCAACUUAUCAGCGUAUGGAUAUCGAACUAAUGAAAUAUGUACCCCAAGGUUACUCAUUUUCAAAGCUUUGCAAAUUCUAUAUGAGUCCAAUAAUAUCCUAACAGUAACAGGACCAAUAGUGUGCAUAACCCACAAUGGAAAGGGUCCAGGCUAAGAAUAUACUGAGAAAUUUGAAAAUAAUAAUAUGAAUUAACAAAUUAACUAGAUUGAUUAGAAAAUAAUACCUCAAAAAUUGAAGCCAUAAGAGGAGAGGCAUCCGGGAAUGGUGGUGGCAAUUCAGGGAAUGGUGGUGGCUGAUAGUGGACCCAGCAAAAUACCUGCGGGCGAGUCAGUAGAUUUAUAUUUUGGGGUGUGCUUGAUUUUGGUGGCCUUCCAGGAAGUCAUAGUCCUCAUAUAUUUAGAGCAGAUAUCAUGUUCAUCUGGUUCUGGUCCUGGUUCUGGCUUUGGUGCAAGCUGUUGCAGGCAAUUAAUUAACUGGGAAGCAAAUAAAUAUUACCAAUUGAAAAAACAAACAAACUAGAAAAAAAAAAAAACCCACAUCUGUCGUGAAAUAAAUGUACUGUGAAAUUUGAAAAUAAUUAUGAAAUUUGAAUUAACAAAAUAAAUUAGAAAACAAUACCCCGUUUGGAGGGCAAUGUCGAUGAAGUCAAAGCCCUCAGGUAAAUUUUGCAAUGGCCCAAGCUGUUGCAGGCAAUUAAUUAAUGAGGAAGCAAAUAAAUUUAUUUAUAAAAAAAACACUCAAGUAGGGAUGGCAAAAUCCUCCACGGGUUUGGGGCUCCAUGGAGCCCCACCCCAAAUGGGAAAAAUUUUGAAUAAUUUUUGGGGAAUGGGGUGGGGAGUGGGAGAAAAAUAAUCCCCAAAUUCUUAAUGGGGUGGGGUUUGGUUUUGCACUCCCCACCCCACCCCCACCCCAAUCCCCAUUAUAUAUAAAUAUAUUUUUAAUUCUUAUUUAAUAAAUUUUAUUUUAUGAAUUAUAAUGUCAAUUAAUAUUUUUUUAAUUUUUUAUGCAAUAUAAACAGGAUAUGAAUGAAAGAAAACCCUAUAAUAUUUUUCAACUAUGAAACAUUGUUAUAUUUUCUUUUCUCUUUUAAAGUGCUACGCUAUUUAAAUAUUUUUUAUUUUUAAUAUCAUUUUAAAAUAUUGUUUCAAACUUUUAGAUAUUUUUUAAAAAGAAUUUAAAUACUUUAUAAUAUGGUGAUGAUUUUAUUUUAAGUCUCUAAUUUUUAACUUACUUAAAUCAUGUAUUUAUACCUAAUAGAAAAUAGAUAAAUGGGGAAUGGGGUGGGGAUGGGGAAAGCAUUACCCACAUGGGGAUUCCCCAUCCCCACCCCACUAAAUUUAUUGGGGAAUGGGGUGGGGAAUAGAGGCAAAAAUUUCUAACGGGGUGGGGAAUAGGGUAGGCCUCCCCACCCCAACCCCACCCCAUUGCCAUCCCUAGUCGUCCAUGGUUUGGCGUUGGUGUAUUUGACUUGGGAACCGGCGAAUUUAGGUCCUAGGGAUUCCAUAUUUUAUGCAUAUUUUUAUUUUUUUUAACCCCGUACAUUAUUUGUAAUCCCUUUGAACACGAGAAAGUUUGGUUUUAUCACAUUUAGCCCCGUCUCUUGUUGCGUUGUUGGUUUAGUCGAUGGUCACCGCUUACCUGAAAUUUUUGUUAAUUGGUUGUAUUUACAGUUUUUCAAAUCUUUAUACUUUUUUUUUUUUACCAUCUUAUUUCUGGUAAAGUUUAUUCAUCAAUUUUGGGUUAUUUAAGACUAAGAUGACCGAAAAAAAUGAAAUUGAAAGUUAAUAAUUUUUUUUAGGUAACUUUUCAAGAACUUUAAUAAGUUUUCAAACAUGAAAAAAAAAAUUAUUCAUUUAAUUAAAUAAUAGGAGAAAUUUUUUUCAUUUCCCUUGUGUUAUUAUGUAAAACACAAGAAUUUAGGAGCCUCCUGAAACGAAGGAUGUCAAUGAGUUGAUACAGUGCGGGACUGUUAGUAUCCUCACCCGAACCCAUAUAAGAGAAAAACUUUCUUUCACUGUCCCUUAAUGUGGGGCUAAACAGACAUGGGCCAUGCGUGAUUUCGUGGCAGUUUGGGUGUGUCUCCCUCGUUUAAUUGGGUGUCGCAUUUGGGAUUUUAGGAACUCUAAAAAAGUUAGCACUUGUACACAUUUAUGUUUUUUUUUUUUUCCUAAUCCGUGUGUUUUUGGUAAUCCAUUUUGACCUAGAAUGUUUGGUUUUGUGAUGUUCCCCUCUCUCAUCUUUAUUGAGUGCUAAUCUUAUCUUGGAUUCUAGACUUUAUUACUGUUCAAAAAGAUUAUUAUACCAUAUGAUACAAUAAUAUAAUGAUAUUUAACUAUUAUAUGAUAUAAUGUAAUAGUAUUAUGAUUGACAAAAUAGUCUAGGCUGGUCUGGUCUGGUCUGUGUAUUAAAAUAAAGGAUAUAAACUAAAAAUAUAAAGUCUGCAUAGAUUGAGUCUGACUAAGGGCCUAAGAAAAAAAUGUAGGCUAAUUUAUAAAUAAAAAGAUAAAUCAAAUAAAAAAAAAAUAAAGUAUUAGAUUAGUUUUUUUAUAUUAGUAUUUGUCAUUUAUUACGUUGUGUUGUAAAUAUUUUGUAUAUUGAACUAUUAUUUUAUUAAGUAUUGAAUAAUCAUCUUUAAUUUAAUUUUUUUAUUUGGUUGAAAAUUUAUUUCAACAUUAAUGAAAAACCCAAUUUAGACAGACUUUUAAAGAAUUUAGACUUGUUAAUAAUAAUAUGAUUUUAGGAGUGUGCUUGAAAAAAACUUAUUCCAAGCCUGCAAUUUGCCAACUCUAAAAUAGUAUUUUCGAAAUUUUACAAAGUCAAAGUUAGAUAAUUUCUACUCUUUAUUACGUGGUCAUCGUACAAUUUAUUACUUAAAAAUGGUGGAGCCAAUAUUUCACAAAAAAAUUGUUUCUGAUGGCUGUAAGCGUACAAAACGUUUUCACCUUUUUUUUAAUCAAUAUUAUUUUUAGAUUUACACGAUGCAGUAAACAAUGCAUUAGUCCUCUUAAGUCUUUUCUAAUAUCAUUAAAGUUUUUUAUUAUAUAUCUACAAUGACUGUGUUGCACUAAUCUCUUUACCAAAUAAAGAAUCUGGUGCAUAUCAUGCUAUAAUCCAUGUAAAUUAUCUGAGGCCUCCCCAGUAGUAAUGGGCAAAUCGAAGUCUAAAUUUGGCUCCACAGUAUAAUAUUUUGUUUUUCUCAAAAGAAAAUUGCAGCAAUGAUAAUUGUUCUGUACUUCAGAAACAGUGGUUUAAAUUAUAUAUUUGUAAUGGAUGGAACCAAAACUCAAGCAAAUCUAUAAUAUCGGCAAUUCAAACACAUUCUGAUUUGCCCAGAUGCCUGAUUUAAGGUUGGGAACGAUACGUAUCCCUAGAGUAAUAUUCAAUUUUGAAUUUUAGAUUCAAAUGAAAACACUCCAAUUCUUAGUUCAUAAUAAGAGAUUUUUAAAUUUCAAAAACUCUUAUCAUGAACUGGGGCCUGUGUUGAUAUAGGAAUCAAUGAUACCCCCUCGAAGGGGGCUAGAGUCUCUAAAAGAGGACAUCAUAUCUCUCGAAGGCAGGGAUGAAUACUAUUAGGUGGGAAGUCUGAAAACCUUGAGGUAGGAAAUAAGGAAAGCUCAAUUUAAACAUUGAAUGAGUCAAAAGCACCAAGUUGAGGAUGCUAGAAUAUCUAACGAUUAUCACCAGCAAAGAAUCACAGAAGCAUUGCAAAAAUAGGCAAGGAAGUUUGCUACGAAACCACUACACCCGUAACACCUUAGAAAAUAGGUUAAUAACACCCUCUGCGAAAAUCAUGCCUCAUUUUCUUCUCCAUAAAGGUAUUUUUAAGGAAAAAUGAAAAAGAAAAUAUGUGGACACUCUACUGAACUAGAACUAUUGAUAUUCAACUUCGAAGGGAAAGAUACUGACUUAAUCAUCAGAGGAGGCACAGUGGCACACCAAAAACCACCAUUUCCAGCCCCAUUUUAUUCCACCCACCAAUACAAUACGAAUACAAUAGUGAAGGAGGUACUAACAGACUUGGCAAAAAUUUUAUUCCACCCACCAAUACAAUACCAAUCCACACGAUAAAUAUAGUUGUUAUUGGGCAACCCAUUAAGAGUUAGAUUUAGGUCAAAGUAUUAAAACCAUUUCACACAAUCCAUUACACUUAAUAUUAACAGUUUAAUAAAUUUAAUAGCUUAAAUUAAGUAAAUUGACUUUAAAUUUAAUAAUUGUAUAAAGUUAUCACAAAUGAUUCAUUUGGAUAAAAACAUUUUGUUUUCGGGAAAACCAGCAGUAUACUUAAGAUCUCAUAAAAGUAGUCUUAAUUACUAUAUCUAUAUAUAUAUAGUAAAUCAUAACUUACACCAUGAACUUUCGCACGUUCAGAUGGUUCUUUAACACUGGAUAUUCUCUAACUUUAUCAAAUACUUCAUAUUUUAGUGUGCCACCUUCUUGGUCCACGUUUGAGUAGAACGUUACUUGGAGUUAAAUUUCCAUGAAAAUAACUGCACUCAUGAAGAAAAGCAACGCCUUUGAUUAUAUCCCUACGCAGAACAUUCAAAUUUAGUGCAUGUCAAGAUAUAUUCUUGGGGCAAAAAAAAAAAAAAUGGCAAAACAAGUAUACUUACAAGGCUAUAUCCGUACACACAACUCAAUUAAAUCCCCCAUUACACUUUUAUUACACAAAAACUAAAAAUAGCUUAUGUUAGAGGAAUUUCAUCAAACACCUAAUAUCCGAUAUUUAUAACUCAUCAUUUUAACUAAAUUUUUUUUUCAUUAUACCACUCCAACAACCUAUAAUCAUCUAGAAUCCCAAUCAAAUGCACUCAAAUUAUUAUAAAAUGUUGAAGUUUGCUCACCUAGGGUUUGAACUCUUUUCAAUUUCUUGGAUUCUUUAUUUUUAGUUCAUCGUCGCCGUGUUCAUCAUUGUUGCUAUCAUCGUUGCCGUCGCUGGUUGCCGGUUGCUGUUCGUCGUUCAAGAGCACAAAUUUGUAGUGUGGCUAGAGAGAGUUUAGAGUAUGGGAAUGUGAAGGGUAAUUUAAGGCAAUUUUUUUAUUUAGUUAUAAUAGAAAGAAAUUAGAUGAGUUAAAUUAAAAAAUUAAAAAAAUUUUAAGAUUAUUUUUGUAAAUUUCUCCUCUUAGCUCUCUUAUGUCACCUUCCGAAAAAUUAUAGAAUACAUUUGUUGUACUAUAUCACCCAUAUAACAAACAAAUAAUAUCAUAACAUGUGUGUAUUUAUUUUAUAAACUAUUAUUUAAGUAGUGGUUGUAUUAAACUCAAUUACACAUGUCAUACAUACAUUAAUUGGUUGUAAUACAACAUAUGUAUUUUAGGAUUAUUCGUGACCUUCCCCGUAAUUGUACUAUUCCAAUAAUAAAUGCCUAAAGAGUGCUUUUACAUAAAAGCCCUCUAUUUCAAACUAAUCACCUGUUCGAACUUUGAAUCGCCAAGCUAAUGCCUCCGUGGCCACCUGAAAAGCAUAACAUUUCCUGCUUUUGCGUCCAAAUACAUGCUAGUUUUCAACUUUCAAGUCCAUGUACAUUCGUCAAUAAUUCCACUACAGUCCGAGCUGUCUCAUUGCCAUGAAUAAACAGAGGCCAAUGAAUCGUUUUUUGUCUAAAUCCAAUCUCGCUCUUCAUUUAUCUUAGCUUAAAACUAAUCAUGUACACGUCAUACCUUUGCCAAUGACAUUUUAGCCAUUUAACAGCCAACUGUACACCUUAGCUUAUUAUACAGUCACAUUAAUUGUCUAAUUAUGCACUGCAAGACAACCUAAUCAAAUACCAACCUCUAGCCGGAAAACACACGGUACAGAUGUCGCCGGCUCCUGGAUUACAAGCACCGCUGCUACCGAACAGCAAGACGGAGAAGCGGCCAUGGGUAUCUGGUGCCGUAUUCAAUGUUGCAACUAGUAUUAUUGGAGCUGGGAUUAUGUCAAUUGCGGCCACCGUUAAAGUCCUGGGCGUAAUACCAGCUUUUGUGCUGAUUGUGAUCAUUGCCUGGCUAACUGACGUCUCCGUGGAAAUUCUGAUGAGAUAUACACAUGCCGGUGAGACGUCAACGUAUGCUGGUGUCAUGAGAGAGUCAUUUGGACGUGCAGGAUCAGUUGCAGCUCAACUCUGUGUCAUGAUCACUAACCUUGGAUGCUUGAUCAUAUUUUUUAUUAUUAUUGGUAAGUCUUCGAUUCUUUGUUUUGAAGGUGGAGGAUGGAUGAUUGAUAAAUGGCAGAUCUUGGUUAAUUCUUUUGGUUGAUGAUCAGGUGAUGUUCAGUGUUGCAAGUAGCCCGAAGGAUCAGUUCAUUUGGGUGUUUUACAAGAAUGGUGCGGCUUUCAUUGGUGGAAUACGCGAGUUAUCGCUCUGCUAUUCGUUAUGGUGUUUGUGAUGCUUCCAUUAGCCUUAUUCGGGCUUGUUGGUUAGUACCUUUGAUGAAAUGAAGCCUUCAAAAUGAUGCUAUAUUUGAUAAUUCUGCCUUGAAUGUUUGAACUUCUUGGUGACUUUGUUGCAUUUGCCUUAUUUCCAGACUCAUUGCGUUUUCAGUUCUGCAAUUUCUGUGCUACUGGCUGUGAUGUUUGUUGCUAUAUGCUCAGUCAUGGCAAUAUAUGCAGUCGGGGAGGGCAAAUCGAAAUCCCCAAAACUACUACCACAGUUGGACAACCAUGUGUCACUUUUUGAUCUUUUCCCUGCUGUCCCAGUUAUUGUUACAGCUUUCACUUUUUAUUUUAAUGGUGAGAACAUUUCGUACAAGUUACUCAGAAUUUCAUCAUUCUGUUGUGUAUUCUAAAAUUGGCGGCGUGUCUUUUUUUUUUUUUUUUUCUACAAUUCAUCCGAUAGGUUGUGAGCUUGACAAGCCUUCUGACAUGAUCACAGCAGUAAGAAUUUCAUUAGUACUAUGUACCGCCAUCUACUUUUCCGUAGGCCUGUUUGGGUACGUUCUGUUUGGGGAGUCAAUCAUGUCUGACAUCCUUGUAAAUUUCGAUCAAAGUUCUGGUUCAGCAAUUAGUUCAUUACCUCAAUGAACUUGUUUGGUUAAGCUAUGCACUUCACCUCAUGCUUGUGUUCCCUAUGUUGAACUUUUCUCCGAGGGCUAACAUCGAUGAGCUGCUUUUCUCCCAGAAACCUCUUCUGGCAAAAGACACCAAAAGAUUUUUGUCCAUCACCCUUGUCACAAGGCCCUUGUGCUUCUAGUAUUCUCUUACACAGCAGCCAUAAUGAUCCCGGACAUAUGGUACUUCUUUCAGUUCCUAGGAUCGACUUCUGCUGUCUGUCUCGCUUUCAUUUUCC